rnacentral:lncRNA from 1 species
AGGCUUUAAGCACCUGUAUUCUUUAAUUCCGAGUUUCUUUUUGAAGGCUUUCAGCACCUUACUUUGAAACUAAAACUCUUUGCUUUGAGCUUUGCUUACUUGCGAACUAACUUAUACUAUUAUUACAGUUCCUAAUCAUAAUGUCACUUAUUACAGUUCCUAAUCGUAAUGUCACUGGGUCUACCAAGACUUAAUGCUAUGCUGGAAAGAAUGGAACUAAGGCAUAUACCCUUAAACUCACUUCAAAGACCGUGCCCUAGAAGAAAGAAUUGAAACCGUCCCCCAGCAACAAGGGAUGCCACACUGCCCUAACGACUCCAACUGCUGAAGAAGAGCGACAUUAAAGCAAGAAUAUUAGACCAAGAGAGACAUUACAGCCAGGAUAUGAGAUCAGUAAGAGUGAAAUAAGAUUUUCUAUUAGUAUUUAAAUAGUAAGGUGCUGAAAGCCUAGUGGUUACUUGUCUAGUUACUUGCCUCUGACAGUUUCGUUUGGGUUUCGUUCUCUAUAGCUCGAUUCCAUAGUUCCUGUUUAGGUAGAUGCCCUCACUCAAAGUUCAUUCCUGUAGUCUCCGAUCUCCUCUUUCAUCCCGUAUACUGCCCCGAACUCCUAUGCUUAUAAAGUUAGUUCCGAUACUGACUACUCGAAGCUUGCGCCCCAGGGAAUAGGCUUCUACCAAUAUAACGGAAGUUCAAUUUGGUUUAUGCUUCUCCCUUGUCUAGCCCCAUCCUUUGACUUACUCAGUGGAGGUCUGUUACUUACGAGCGCAACUCUCACUAUUUACCACUAGGAACCUAAGAGCUCCUCCGCUCUAAUACUAUCUAGUACUAAUCGUUUUGCGCAUGAGACUAAUAGGAAUGGUCAGAAGGAGCCUAGAUCUAGUUAAACUAACCUAACCAGGGGGGAGAAUAUAGUUGACUUUAUGGCCACUCGGCAUUUAAAUAAGAAUGUAGGCGGUAUCUUCUCUGUAAGUAAUAAUAUAGUAGGCACAAUGUACUGCAGACUAAAAGCUAAUGCGCUCUGGUGGUAACGUAACCACAAGGGAACCGCUCCGUAGAGUAGGAAGUAAAGGAAUCGUAGACAGAUAAGAUAAGGAAGGGCAUAUAUAAAUUGAAAGAUCAUUAGCGAAGAAGGGGAGUCGAGUUUGGAAGUAAGGAACAGAACAGAGGAACAAGCGGAUAAGCAGAUAGUUAGUGAAUGAAAAGCUUAAUUAUAGCAUAUAUAUAUAUAUAUCAAAAGGUGGUUUCAUAACAGUAGUGUUAAAGGGAUAAUAACCUAUAUGCUAACUAAGAAAGUAGUGUCACCCAUUCUUCAACCACUGUCACUAAGACUUAAGCCAGUGCCGAGUAGGCUGAUGCGGUGUCUGCUAAGACUGAUGUGGCCCACUGCUGUAUGGGACUGCUGCUAUGGAGUUAGAGAAUGUAGCUAGUCAAUUGAAGUAAGUGAAACACAAGCCUACCCGCCAAGUCUAGUUUUCAUUGCUUAUGAGUUUCAUUCCAUUUAUACUGUCUUAUCAUUGCCACCAGCUCCGGUCCUUUCUUUGGCUGGCAGCCGCGUCAGUGAGUUACACUAGUUUCAUGAUUUGUUUACAGUGUCAGGUCAGUUGCUUGGCGGUAGCGAGUUCAACCGAUCCAUGCUUUUGACUCUGAAUUGGUGCACCCAACUACCUUACUUGCUAAUGGAUAAGGUAGUCAGAAUGCCAGGUAAUUAUCCACUCCCCGCUUCCAAGUAAGUACUUUCUUCUUCGUGAUAAGCCACCCUUUCUUUCUUUUUCUUUUCUUUCUCAGGUCUUUCAUGGUACCAGAGCUGUGACGUCAACUUCGCACACACUUUCUUUUGUCAAAAUAUCUAAUGAAAUCAAAUUGGAUUACUUAUAAGUUCGUUUUCGUAUCAUAUAGGUGAACAAGUAAGGAAUAGAAGUGGUUCGUGUUUUCUGUGUGUUCAAUCGAUGUUCCUAUGGGUGUGAAGUCUACCUUUAUCUUCCAAAGCUUUUUCUGUGUGUUCAAUCGAUAUUCCUAUGGGUGUGAAGUAGGCAAAUAACUUGUGAUGCGGCAGGAGCGGUGGAAGAGAGUUGACUUGAGCUUACUUUCUUUUGAGUUGAAUUCAAUUGUCUAGGAAAGUAGCGGAGUUAAGGAAUACAUCUAGUCUAGAAACUCCCUUCCAUGUUUGUUACUUCAAUGCCAAACUUAAUCAUUUCCCGACCCAACAAGCUUACUACUAACGGACAAUCUUCGCCUACCAUAUCUCUUUCUCUUACCCACUCUAUUGAUCCGGACUGGAUGGACUACUUCACUUCUCCUUUCCUUGAAGACUGACUCCUAUUCUGUAUAUUCCUACUUGGAGGGUGGGCAAGCAACUCAAACUUUGACACCACAACUUCUUUUGUUGUUGCAAGAGAAGAAUAGGGUACUUUCUAUCGAGCUGGCCAUAAUACAUAAUUGCUAGCGCAUUCUAAGAAAUAGUAUAAAUAGAAGGAAGGAUAGAUCUAGCGCAUCAGGUAUCAGAAUUAGGCUCCAGGUACGAUCUAGCCAAUUAAGUAAGAAAUCCAGAAUACUGUUUAUAGGAGAGGCGAGGUCGGGUAGUUCGGUGCCCUUAUUGUAAGUUUCGGAUAAUUAAGACCUUAGUGACUUGACUUGGCCCGCAUCUAGUACUUGCUUGGCAGUUUACAGAGGAGAAGUAGAUGAGCAACCACUUGAUGAGUUUACAUAGGAGUGAAAGGCUUUCCCCUGUAUCAUCCUAAAUGAAAUCCUAUAUAAAGAGAAAUAGACAAGCAACGUCGGGUCGGCACUGAAAGGAUUUGUUACCCACCAGAGCAGAGGCCUCUAUAGUCAGUUGGGAGAGCCAAGUACUGUUAGGGCAGUAGUAGUUCUCAUAUUCCCAAUCUUCCGAGAACUAUACUAGCUCAUAAGAAUAAGGGAUCCACUAACUGGUCCAGGGCAGGGCUCCUUAGCUUUGAACUCGCAUGACGGAUAUUCUUUUUCAUAGCUUCCGUAAUCUUUCUCUGUGACUCCUAGAAAACAGAAAAGGUGUUCUUUUUCACAGCAUAGGGUAUGACGGAUAUUCCAAUGAAGUGGAUAGCACUAGGUUAGUUACCAGCUUCCAUAAGACCUAGCUCAUGGGAGGCGAAAACUGGAAUAGUAGUUGGGCAUAGAACAGGACUCUAAGGUUCUUUAAGUAAAAGAGUGAUCUUGACGCUCUACCGAACGCUCUACUGACUAAGUAUAAGAAAACAUAGGAGAACUUUGACUAUCCGUAUAUAGGAAACCGGAUGAAACUAUGGAUAUGAAACAAGGGAUUCCACUCAUAAACUACAGGCUCUGCUCUGGCUCUUUGAACUAAGUCAGAUCUUUCUUCCGCUUCUGAAGUUGCUGGUCGAGGUCCAAUAGAAAGGAAAGGUUUUGUGUCAGCUGUAUUAGCUACUAAUUGAAUAGCUUCCCUUGCAUACCUCUUCGGUGUUGCCUUAUUGUAAACCUUGCAAAUCAAUGCCUAUCAUGCCCCACUCACUCUUCCUGGCCUGUGUACUUUAUUACAAUUCUUCCUAUAACUAAACGGACUUUCCCGCGCGUACUGCUCUAUACUCCAACCAUAGCCUCCUUUCUUCAAUUCCCUUAGUUUAGUGUUAUCAAUGAGAAUUCUUUAUGUGGGGCACUAGGUAUAUAAAUGAGUCAGGGUACAGCGCUUCUUCUCUUUAUUCCUCCCCUGCCUCAGAUCCUGUUUAAGAGCCAGAUCCCACAGUAAGAUAGAAUUUGGAACUAACCAAAACAGACUAUAAGGGCUCGCUAACUGCUUACUUGAUAUCCGGAUCCGGUUUCAGGACAGAACAACUUCCCUUGAAGACCAGACCCUCACUAACUUAUCCCUAACUAACUUAGCAACUCAAGACUCUCCACUUUAAGACCUAGCUCCGGUGAGGUUACCUGCUUCCAUAAGACCUAGCUAUAUAAGUAUUCCGUCGACUAUUAGACUCUAUUCUAGUUCUCUCUCUCGCCAACUACAGGAUUAGUAGUAUCGGAGUAGAAGAGAAGACCAGUCCCUUAUGAUUAUUAGUUUCAAGAAAGAGCCAAAGCAUAUACCAGACAAGAACAGUUGGACCAGACCAGAGACCUGUAGGGCUAGGAAUAAGAUUAUAAGCUGGCGAAAGAUUCAAUUAAAUAAAUGAAGUAAGAAGAAACUGAAUGAGGAGCUAGGUACAGAACAGAGAAGAUACCGCUCAGUUCACCAACUCACCAAAACACGGGGGCAAAGCAACGAGGAUUAAUAAGCGACUUAACUGCCACUAACACCUGAGAUUGACCAAACAAGUAGAGUCAUUGGCUUUUUCAUCUCGUACACCCAAGAUCAGAAGCAAGGGUACCAAGUAUAAGGUAUCUUGAAAGCCAGGAUAGAAAGCCUGUUAGUGCAGAGGUGUGACUACUCCUUUAGCUCAGAGUCUUGAUCCGAGUCAAAGUAAGCAGAUAGAGCAGAGCCAGAUCCCACCAGUAGAUGUAGAUUCCAAUCCAUUGGAAGAAAAUUCCAUAAACUAGAUAAAGUCCAAUGAAAAACAAGAGGCUGUUCACAGAGGAAAACCGGCUUUCAUUCCAAUUAUUAGCUUAUUAUAGGAUUCUAUUGACAAUAGUCCGAAAAGACACUCUAACUACCAGUAGACCAAGAUCUUAAGCCUCAGAUGGAUCCUUCUCUUGCUCCCGAACACAGCUUCCCUCCAUUCAACAACUUGACCUUACCCAUCCUUUACUAACGCGUAACAUUAAUGGAAUUGCCAAUUUCCCUUCCCCUCCGGCUAGGCACCCCGACAUGGCAAAACGGGACCCUGACCCGACUCACUCUAUCUGACUGGCCCACCUCGCCUUAAAGCCAGUACUUAACCCAGGAUCAUUAGUACUUUAAGCUUCCUCACCUGUGCUUGAACACCGCCAAGUCCCUACAAAAAUACAUAGCAAUGCUUGCCUGGUUGUGCAAAGAAUGGUUCGCUGAAGUUAGUGGUUCCGCCCUUAAGUGAAUUGGUGAUAGUGUCAUCCCGCCCAGCAAACACUAGGUUUCAUCCCGAGUUGAGUCUAUCUAUUUCAUCCCGAGUAACGUCUAGGUGCCUUCCAUCAAAACAAAAGUCUCUAUUUUGCUAUCAGCCAAGUAACUCCUAGAUAAGAUUUAUGGCCUAAACUAUCAUAUCUGCACCUCUUCUUCAAGAUAAGAAUGGAGUUUGUCAGCACUAGCUCGAGUCUUGUUAUAGCACUUAAGGAUAAGAGAUAGAGUUAGUGUAUUAAGAAUGGACCUCCCUCGUCUGCCUCUGCUCAUGCAACAAAGUAAGAUAUAAUAAUAAGAUAUAAUAUAAUAAAAGAAAUCAUUCAUUUAGUAGGGUUCGCCCUUCCAUUUAGUAGGGGCCAAGUAACUACGUCAGUUAAAAGCGUUAGUCUCCGGUUUCAUUCCGACUUUCCUACUUUAGAACCAAUGGGGAGGCUAGUUACAUCUUCUAUAUCUUCUAUUAGGGUUAGUACGAGAAAACUCUCCCUUCAUUUGCACCCGGUUCAUUUGUUUCUUUCUCUCUUUCUCACUGGCGAAUAGGCAUACUACACUUGAGAACUGAAGCAGGGGGGGUAAACAGGCCCAAGGGAGCUAUCAAUAAAGGGUUUCUAAUGCAUUUCUAGGUUCCUCAGGGGGUGCUAAAUGAAAGAUUUGACAUAAAACGAGAAAAGUGGUUAAAUAGUGCAUUCUUAACCCUAUUCUUAGUUUUUGAGUAGAAUUACAAUACGAGGGAUAGGUUUGUGUCAUUACAAUUCCUGUUUUUGGGUGUUCUCUCCUUGCUCGGUUCUCUAUUUCUUCUUAGCUUAACAAAAGAACUUCAUCUUAUCCUCUGCACCCACUCACUCCCGUUCACUCAGUUAUUCUCUUAUAAGAGUUCCCUAGCGAUACAUCUGGUGUUUUCUUAGAUAUUAUCUUAUAUUAUUUCUUCUCUUUUUAGAGUCUGAUUUCUUCUCUUUUUAGAGUCUCGUCUUAGAUAUUCUCUUCUCUUAUUUCUUCUCUUUUUCGUGUUUAGGUCUGAUCGGAACAGUUUACUAAUCCCACGGUGCAGUGCGGGCGGGGUAAGAGGCUUCUCUUCUCCUCAAGUCUAUCUAAACCAUCAAUUCAUAUUGCCAACGUUCUUUUUCACUACUCUACUUUCAAAAGGUUCUCUAUCAGCUGGAUGUCUACUAAACGAAAACGAAUCCCAUUCAAGCAAAGAUAAGAAAGACGACGCUCCUGUCCUGGCAAAGUAAGCAAGCCCCUAUGAAAGAGAGGACCCUUCAAACAUAGCCUUUCUACCCUGAGACAAAAGCCAUCAAAGCCAUUAGCAAGGGAAAGCUUAUUGUAAGCUCUCGGAACUUACUUAUGAGGAGGAGACCGCGCCCUUCUUUCUUCACCGGCUAUCGAGAAGAGAAAAUGUAGCUAACUAAGCAUAAAGCUAAUCAACUUCAAUGCAGUGGAGUAAGUAAAUAGGCAGUGAACAAACACUCAAGGGAAGAUCAUGUCACUGAAGACCAAGCCGCGAGCUAGCUCAGUUAGAACGAAAUUCGAACUAGAUGAACCAGAAUCAGAUGUGUGAUAUACAUAUAUAGAAACACUUUUGUAGUACACCAAUUUAGUACACCAAUAAGAAAGGAGAAGAAGGGAUGCUUGAUUGAACUCGGAGAAACGAGACCUGAAAGCUGCUCCAUUGAAUUUAAUGGAUUGCCAGGAGAACCCAUUGGCUGAAUGAAGGCAAAGGAGAAGGAGAGAUAGAUGCUGGAUCGUAAUGGCACUCCUCUAUAUCAGGCUUAGCACUAUACCUUUGAUUCUGACUUGUUUAUUGACUUAUUCCACUUUGUAUUCUAUUAACUUAUAUUAACACAAACAAUAUAGUAUAUUAAAUGAAAUAGCUAACUACAACUACUAGCGAGAUUGAACUAAAGCUAACAAUACUUAUGCUCUAAACUAACUCCUUCAUUACUAGAACCGAUCUGUACUUGCUCUUAGUCUCACUGCACUAAUCCCUAUUCUCUUGUGUUAGCCCGCGACUCCCCGAUCUAAUAUCUGUAUUUGUAUACAAGCUAUUGACCUCAAUGCCUAUCUCCUGUUUUAGUCCGCCCUUACUAGAUCUCAUUCACACAUGAGAGGACAUGGGAUAGAAUACGAUGUGCUCGGCAACUAAGCUAUGGGUUGAGUCUACUUUAAGCAUCUAAUCUAAGCUAUGGGUUGAGUCCACUUUAAGCAUCUAACCUCUUAAGGACUAUUGGAUUGCCUUGUAGGUCUUAUUAAUGGGGUUAUUUGGAUUCUGUUCGGGUCAAGGAGAAAGUGGAGUUCAAUCAAUAGUAGAAGAUAGAAUACUUGGAAUCCACUGCUGCUAUAGUUGUCGAUGUAGACUUGAUUCGCCCCCCAAGAGAUUCCGUAUACUAGAAGAGGUGGGCAAGGGAAGCAGUUCAGUCAUAAUUUUGGACAUAGGUAUCGGAGCCAGCAGGGUGAUCGGACUUGCAACUGGAUACCCCGGUUUGAUUCUAAUUAAUAACCUGCCGCCAUGAACACCAACGGACACAGGUUCACUCUGGACAAGACUCUGUGCUAAGCAAGACUCAGUGUGCGGGAAGUGAAUAAAGAUGAAAUGUUGCUUGCAAUGCGAGUUGACUCAGCGUAAGAAGACUCACAGUGUGCGUAAGGUCAGAAUCAAAUAAAGGUAAGGAAGCGCGUCAUGGUCCAAGCAUCAAAGUCAAGUUAUAAAGUCGAGUUCGGAAGUCAACUGCAAGCUAAAAGUAUUGUUCAAGUGAUAGGGCAGGGCGAAAGAAUGGAGAACUAGAUAGGGCGCAAUAAUUAUAGUCUUCAUCCAGAUAAGCAGGCGCUUCAACAGUGUCCUUAAUUAAUUGGCGGCAGGGAGCUUAGAGACAAGUAAAGAAGCUAGUUCAAGAAACAGAAGAAUUGGAGUGACCCACGCCCCCUAUAAUUGAUAUUGGGAACCAACCAUGUGCUUUCCACUCCCAAGUUAGAAUUGCACUUGACCGGAGGAAAGAGAAUCACUAGUUUAUUGAACAAGUAAGUAUAAGAAUUAUAAGAAGCUACUCUCUAGCGGAAUAUGAAUAGUAAUAGUAUAAGGGUACUCUCUAGCGCAUUCAAUGAUCUCGACUUCAAGUUCCGUUUUCACCUGCUCAAACCCCUUCUCCAGCUGACGCCUCUGAUCCUUAUCUUUAAACAGGAACUGGCAACUUGACUUCCGCAGUUGAUCUUCAGUCAACUAAUAAUGAUUCUCUCCCCCACCUGCCUAUAAAGAAGAAGGAAAGGAAGGUGCUAAGAGCCUAUUGUCUAUACCAGAGGUGUCACAAUUCCAUUCUUAAAGCAACUACAAACUACUAAAAUCGAGCUGCUACUGAUGAGAAUGAAAACGGGGAAUAAAGAAUCAAACUAAGGAUAACAGGACUGAAUCCUAUCCUCUACUGGAAAGAAUGCACUACUAACCGCGUAGAUAAAACGACUAUUAUAAAUAAUACAAUAGACAGGAUGUAAACUACUAAUGGAAAGAAUUGCACUAGUGUUAACAAGGGCCAAGCAACGAGCCAAGCAACAGUAAGAACGAAACCACUACUAAUAAGAAUGCAACUUCCAUUGAUCAAGCAUCCGCUCCUGUUCGAACCCUUAAACAAAGAAUGGAAUUGCCUAGGAGCAGCUCCCCCUUCGGCUAAUGAUUAUCUUUAUUGUCCUGCUGGGAGCUUAAGAGCAAACUCGCAACUACUGUAUGAGUUAUCAAAAGUGCUGUGUUCGGCGCCUCUUUAUAUAAAGUCAAGAAUGGAAUUGCCUAGAACAGUUACACCCCCGGCAGUAGUAGCAGUUGUAGUAACACCUAUCUAUGGAGUUGGGGAGUUAGGUACAAAUAUUCCAUUAGUCCUGUCUUCGUAGAUGUUUUCAGCGGUAAGACAAAGAUAAGUAAGUCUCUAACCCUUUACUUGCUUACUUACUUGCUUGCCUGGAUAGAAAGAAGAUUCGAAAGGUUUUAGUCAAAUUGGAAUUCUUUUUGACCUCGCUAUUAGCUAAAAUGGCUUUGCUAUUAAAAAUACCGUGUUUUGGUGACUUCCAGAAAGAUACUUUACUUACCUUUGCCACACUUCAGAAUUUCCCCUUGCCGCCGACCUCACUUUCAGAUCCUGGCUCUGAUCCUGCUCCUGUCCUUGUUAUACUAGUUUAUUAUAUCACUUCCUAUCUUAUUGAAUUACCUAUCUGAGAAUUCCACUCAAAACUCAUAAUUGAUGUAAAUAACACUAGAGUAACUCAGAUCUAUCAUACCAGUGCGGGGAACACAAGAAUGAUUCUGUUUCAACUGCUUCCUCACCAGCUUCUGAUCCUGCUGACACAAACUCAUUAACUAUGACUUAUUCUUAUCAAGCAUCAGAUCUUUCCACUACUGAUUGAUUCAUUCUCAUCGCCAACAACAGGCUAGGCUGCAUUCGCCUCUCUCUCCUAUGGCUACCCGGUCCUGGCACAGCUACAACCUUCUGGUCUCUUUUCUUUUCUAAGCAUUAUCCUUAAUAAUAACAGAUUGCCCACCUCUUUGGGGCAUGAAGCACUACUUGGCCUACCUCUGUUACUGGGUUACUUAUUUCUAGAAUACCUAGCUCAUGAUUCCUUUCCUACUAGCUCUGAUACCUUAGCUUAUGUACUAGAUGCACCAAGUAACUACUAAUGUGUAGCGGCAGGAGUCUUUGCCAAUGCUAUCAGUCAAGCCAAGCAACUAGACAAGUAGCGUGACAGGAGCCCCGUUUGACGAGAAAACGCAUCUUUGCAUUCAACUACGAGGGGUUAGUUUCUAUCUGCAUUUCUUUCCCUGCCAUUCUUAUUGUAUGCCGACCUCGCCUCUUUAUUUCAGAUUCUACCUUGUCUCUCUCUCUCCUCUUUAUUUCAGAUUCUACGUUUCUUUAGAGCCUACAUCUAAGCUUAGAAUAGGGAUGUCCUUUUCUAACAAAAUGCACCAAUCAUACGAGAUACUAUGGAGGAAGCCCAAAGUCUGUUACUAGGCUCUAGUCGGGCACUUAUUAUAGGUCUAGUCGGGUGCUAAGAUGUUGGUUCGGGGGCAAGCGCUUAUUCUAUCAAAAUCCUGCUUCGUUUUCUGUUCCCGAUUCAAUCUGAACCUUUCCUGAAUGAAGAAAUAGAGAGAAAGACUGUGAAAAGCAGAGAUCUUUUCGUCGAGGAAGAGUAACUGAACUAAGUAUGCAUUCGGAAGCUUUAUCGGUAAUGACACCCCCUAUUGUGAAUGAUUAUUAUAGCUUUCCAGUCUUUGCCGCUGUUGCUUGAGCCGAUUGUGCAGAUCAAGUUCCUAUUCCAUUAUGGCGGUGAGCUUUCUAGCGGACUUACUCACUUUUUCGGAAGCUUCAAAUGGUCAAAAAGAUUCAUCUCAUCUUUUUCUAUGUCUGGGGGCCACCAUUACGGUAUGAAGUGCAGUGCUUUCUUUGACCUAAGAAUGCCAUUUCUUAGUUCAUCCCUAUUUCCGAAAGAAUCUUGCUUAGAUGGUAAAGUCUGACUCUUAUCUUUCCUUACCAAGAGGUGAUUCAAUCAAUGUACUUGCUUGUAGUUUCAAAGGUAUUGGCUUUGUGUAAAAGAGAUAAGAGAGCUCUUUCCUCUUUUUGAUAUAUUCUAUAAUUCUAUGAGAAAUGGAAUUCGGGAAGGUGCUAUACCUACCCUUACCUCUCUCUAGGUAAGCAAUAACAAUGACCUUCCUCCUAUUAAGUGUCCCUAAUCAAUUACCAGACUAAGACUUUGAUGUCUAGAUCACUACCCUCUCCAACACAGUCGAGCACUUAAUCCCUUGAUCCUAACCAAAGGAAUAGGGGAUAGAAAAGAGUUGCUUGAGAUUGACCAGCAUGCACUAGCUGAUAAUGCUAAGUUAUGGAGCACUUGUCUUCUAGCGGGAACCAGUAUAACAAGUAUUCCUCAAAAGGAUUAGGCUCCGGUGUGGAUGUCAUUCAGCUGCUUAUGGCUCGCUUUCUCUUUCCAUUCCAUUUCCACCUUGUUCACAGGCGAAUCAAGCUGCUAUCAAAGCUUGUCAAUCGAUUCUUUCAUAACCUUAACUCUCCAUUGCGAGUUCUUUGACUCUAUUCCAAAGAGUAGACUGGAAGACCAUGCUUGUGCGAGCGCCUUUUCCGAAGCCUCCAAUUCUUUUCAUUUUCUUCUGCAAUACGAGAUUUUCUCUUUUUUCGGUGGUGGAGCGAGGUAGACUCGGUCUUCGAAAAAGUCAUUUCAUAUAGAAAAGAGGGAUUGAGUCUGUCUUCUCUCCUAUAUUGAUAUUGGACAAGAGAGCUCCGGUGCUAUCUUUCAUGGACGAAUCCCCUGCUUGCUUGAUAAGAAAGAAGCCGCGCUAUUGAAUCAAUCAGCUGUGAACGAAUCGGAUGUAGCAAGAAUAAGUGCUUUGUUAUUGUUCUAUCUUUUUUCUUUCUUUUUCGCCCGGUUAGCCUUUCUUUGAAAGAAUACGGGGUUAGAGCCUAAUCAAAUAUGCCCAUUUUCCAAGAAGGAGCUGCACAUGAAGCAGAGAGUCCACUUGUGGGGGGAACAAUGAAAGCCUUAGGUAUCCUCGAUGAUGCUUUGUCACCCUCGAGAAUGCUUGUACAUGCCUAUGAUGAUUCCACUAGGAAAUGAAUCCGCAAAGGUAACGGUAACAAAUAAGAAGAAGACACGAAUUGAUGUUAUGGCACAGGGAACCCAGUCCUGCUUACGCGAUGGUGUGCUUGGACAGAGGGCUAACUGGAAUCUUCUUCGACCAGAAACCUUGGAUCUACUUGCUUGAACAGAGUACUCUCCGCCUCUGUUUAUCUGUUUACGAAUGGCCCCACAGGCCUAAGCGAUGAUGGCUCCAGGCCUAAGCGAUGAUGGCUCCGGCGUUCUUGGUCAAUGAUGUCGUUCACUUCUGACCUUCCCAUUUGGACUGUCAAAGGAGGCCGUCAAAGGUCAUUUGGGGGUGGGUUUACGAGAGGGCCUUUUCCCUUACUUCUCUUUCCUUCGCUUGGUAGACGAGUCAACGAUAGAGCGAAAGAAAUGCCCAUGGAGUACGACUCGCUAGAGCUCCUGCAGCCUCCGUGCCUAGAGAGCUGCCCCCCACUGAUCAAAGGAAUGAACGAUGGUGCGGAACCCUUUCUCGCUUUUCGGAAAUCAAUACGUGUACACCUUUGUCUUAAUACCGUCUAGCCGAUAUAAUUCCCCAAAUAGGCUUUCACUAAUGAAGUAGGCUUUCGACAAUGAGAGAUGGUAAGCCUUUCUUCCUUAGAUGCCUUGAAAGUGCCUAUUCUUUCUUUCCUUAGAUGCCUUGAAAGUGCCUAUUCUUUCGAGAAAUACUUUCUAGAGUUCUUCAGAUUCUCUCAUAAAAGAAAUAAAAGAUAGUGGGAGUUAAGAUUCGGGACUAUAUACUGGCUGCUAUCUCACUCUAUAAAGUCAAAUAAUAGAUGUGUAGAGCGCGGGCAUGCUUCGUCCUGUUCCUUUGCCCGCCGAGAGUUGUUAGUGGAACGCCCCUAAUUCCAUUCCCACUGAGGGGUUUGAAAGCUAUGGCGGGAAGUCUAUUUUCUCCCCAACUAAUUACCUUCACUCAGAAUUCUUUUGACUUGACAUUCGUUAUCCCCUCGACCCCUGUAUGUAGAGGCCUUUGAAGACCACUACUAAAUACAGAGGAUCUUGAUAGAAAGUGGUGCAGGAUUUCAUAUUUGUACAUUGAGUACAGCCAGGCAGUGGAAUUUGGAUCCUUCUUGCUCUGCUCCUCACUACAGCUGUUCGUGCAUAUGACGGGACCACUCGAACUGCGCAAGGUAGAGUUUAUUGUCAUCUCCAAGUGGGACCCCUUGUUCGGUCAACUCUAUUCCAUGUAGAGCAGAUAUCCUAUAAACAUAUCCAAUGUUGCUAGCACGACCUUGGAUCCACGCCAACUUGGUUGUAGCAUCCUCAUAUCAUAUCAGUAUCAAGUUUCCCAUGAACGCGUAAUGUCUCUACCUUGAUAGCUACCCCGUAAACCCAAGCUUCAUUCAAGUUCCGUCCCUUCUUAUCGAUCCUGUAUUGAUCUACCACCAUCCUUCUCUUUUUCAUGAUCUUUGGUGGCAGCCUCCGUUUCCGUGGCAACGGCGAAGAGCGGGAAUCACCUAAAAAGAAAGAGCUUCUUCCUUUGCUACAGAUGCCUAACUUAUUCCGUCUCAUCCUCAUACUUCGGUUCUAGAGAGCUGCCAAAAAUGGAUCUUUUGCUUCUCUUCUGACGGCCAACCACACGAUUCAAGCUAUGAGGAACUCGCCAAUGACUUGGAUUUCCACCCUUGCCCGGGAACAAAUGCUUCAAGGCUUUACUUCCUUGGUCCCGAUCGGCCGUUCCGAGUAGCAGGAGAUUACCUAACUACAGGACCCGAGUGAUCUUCUGCCCAUACUUUCUUUCCUUAAUGACCUUCCAGUGGCUAGGCACCAGCCAAGCAAUGCCUUGUGCGUUCCCCAGCCAUUAGCGGUUGUAAGAGCAGAAGUAGUUUCAAGAGAAGAAUCUGCUUUAGUUUACUCGGCGCUAACAGAGCCUAAAACAGGACGGACUUGCACCAACACAAGGAAUUGCCGGUUGGCUUUCCCCUACUAGCUUUGUUCUUAGCUUUCCAGAGUGGACCUCUGCUCUUUCACUUAUUCACACACAACACUUCUUGUCCCUAGGAAGGAAGAUCAUCCAGCUCUUUUCAAAUGUCAUCGUGUAUAUAUGAGCUUAUCUCUUUUCUCUUGCUCAUCUAAACAAACAGCCCACGUAACGCUUAAGUCUCAAGUGAGCGGACCUACUUAACGCUUUGCCAGGAUAAUCAAAUAUAGAAUAAGAAGAAGCUCAAGCAUAAGCAGAAACAGCAGAUAGAUCCGGAUCCGAAUAAGACAAGCAACAUCAGUUUACUAAGAAUCAUAUGUUGGAUCAGCAGCAAGAGAAGGAAAGUAGAGUCGACAAGAUAGGAUAGGCCAAAUCAAAGGGAAUAGAGUGAGUGUCUGUACUUCAAUCUAUACUUUGUGUGACUUAUCUCAAUUCCAUUCUAACUUCAAGUCCUGAGCGUUGUUGUUAUUGAAUUCUAUCAUGUGCUGUAGGAAAGAAAAGUGUUUCAAAGGUGAAAUGGCUGGAUCAGUUGCCCCCGCCUUUGGUCUAGCCGGAUCUGCUCCAGGGAAAGCUUCCGCAUCCUUACCCCUAUAAGCUUGAACUUCACAUUCAUUCCAUACCCGACAGAGAAAUGACAGUGGGAAAAACAGAAAGAAAUCAAUCCAGAAAUCAAGAAAACUGUAGAUGUAGAAAACUGUAGAUGUAGGGUCCCGAUGUUGCUUAUAGUACUUUACUAUAGUGGAGUAUGCUUAUUUGCGCUGUUCUCUUGCUUGUUUCAUAGAGUGCACCCCAUAUAGAGUCACUUAGUAACAAAACCCCGAAAACGGACUCAUUCUAGUCAAGAACACAAGUCCAACUAGUUUGCUGGGUGAAUUGAGGCAUCUCGAGUGGGUAGUUCACUGUGCUUGUUUGCGCUUACUGAGUUUAUAGAUCCCCAGAGGACUCUACAGAUUGACUUAGCGCUUCAACGCCCUCUUCUUUAUACGACGGAGCUCAUCUUUCUUUCCCGCUUCUUUGAUACAACAACGAUUAACUGUUUCAUCUCGGCAAAGCUUAUUCUCUGGUCGACCACUACUCUACUCAAUCAAGCACUCUAACGGAACUACAUUCAAAGCUAAGCAAAGGCGAGUCCGCCAAUCAAUCAAUCCGACCUUUUGCGCUUGAUACUAUUCUUUUACGGGACCUAAUCACUAUCGUUGGUGAGUUCCUAAGCCAUCUCAUUUAUCUGAAGUGAAGCAAGCCACCUUUUCAUCUUCAUCGAGUGCCCGGACCACAAGCUCCAUAUUCCAACACCUAUAUUGGAACUACAUCUCUUUCUCCUGUUCAACUUCAAGCAGAGCGGCUAAGAAGCUUCAAAGUCCGAUACGGAAGGCAGCUAGUCAAGUAAGAAAUAUGAUUAUAUGAACUGAGCUGAUAGUCAAGUAAGAAAUCAGAUUAUAUGAACGAACGACUCUAUUACUAAGAAAUAGGAAAUAGAAGUAACACACAUAAGAUAUAAGAAAAGUCAAGUAACCGAACUCAAUAAGUCAUAAGUGCAAUAGAAGUAAUAAGUGCACAAUAUGAUAGAAAUUGAGUCAAGCUCACUCCUUACUCCUUACUCUCCUCUUUAGUUAACAUUCUAUAAUAAGGUGAACCACCCCCUUAUUUCACUCGAACGUGUUCAUUCAUAUAAGUGCAAGAUGAGAGAAUUCCUUUUAGUAAAGUUAAUACACCGAUAUUAGAUCUUCCCUAUUGUGUACUUCGUGAAUUUGCCAAUGUUGAGUUUAGCGCUUUAACCAUUCAGCCAUGGAUAAGGAAUGGAAGAAAAGCUAGCAGCGGGAGAAAGCUUUAAGGUGCUUCAGAGAUAGGGCGGUUAUAGUAAGCUGGCGAGUUAUUGUGUUGUCCUAUCUUAUCUAUAAGCUCAUCUCUUUUCGAAUGCCCCCUGAUACAUAAAUUGUUGUAUUACUUGAGUGAAUUCUUAUUGCUUGAGAUUUACCUGCAGGGCACUAUCCGUCUCAGUUAUGGAGCACUUUAGUCUUCUCGCGGGAGAACGAAGCUCAAAAGAAUUAGGCAGAGGUGUGGAUGGAUCAGGCAAUAUAUUGGCCUAAGGGGUAAGGAUCUGAUUCCAGCACUAGUAGGAUCUUUCUCAUUUAGUUAACCCAGGCGACAGACGUAGACCUUCUUUUCUCGAGAGGUCCUUUGGUUAAUCCACGGCCUCCACUUUCUUCUCCGAAUACAGGAAUGGGGUCGUUGUGGGGAUGGCACCCUUUGAUCCCCAAAUAGGCUUUCUUAUCCCCUUGAAUGUCUCUCUUUUCUUUACUGCGAAAUGCAGAAAGGUAUGGUAGGGAGCCUCUCACUGCUUAUGGCUUGCUUUCUCUCUUUUUGAAUCACUUCCUUGUUUACAGGCGAAUCAAGCUGCUAUCAAAUUGUUUAAGCACCCGAAACUCUGACUUUCUUUCGGAUUGAAUUCUUUAUUAGUUGACUAUGGUAUAGGAGCAAUACUCGAUCAGAGGCUAGAUCCGGAGCUGGCUCCUCAGCGGGAAUGAAAUGGAAUAUAAAUGCACUGAUUCUACAAAGUCAUGUAGUAACAAAAACACAGCUUACUGAAUUUAUGGAAUUGGACCGAUUUGCUUCGAUCACUUCUCGACCGGGACUUCCUCCUAUAGAUAAGAUACCUGAGAGAUAGCCUAUAGAUAAGAAGAGAUGGAUCUAUGGGCAAGGAAGCUUAUUUCUACUUCCAGGCAAGGAAAGACGAAUCUAUUGUACUACCCCAAUGGAAGGGAAAGCUUACUGAGAUACCACCGAUACCCUAUGAAAGAGAGGGCAGAGGGGAGAAAUCAAGUGUUCCCUAAAGCCAGUUCUGUGUCUCCCUAAGUAGUGCUUUCCACUCAAAACUACGCGUACUUUCUUCUUUAUCUAAGCUAACUUUCUUCUUUAUAAUAAGUGAAGUGGAAUCUAUCUCUUUAAAAUAGAUCAUAUAUAUCGUUAAAAGGAGCCUUCCCACACCAACACCAGUGGGAUCAGUAGUUUUCUACCUUCUUUCUUAGGUCGGGGCAGAGUCAAUUCCAUACAUAAAUGUGCUAUUGCGGUAAGUCAACUAUGGUACACAGGAUUAUGACAGAUUUGGACCGAUUUCUUAUGACUUUAACCUUAACCAACAAGCACCGAAUUAACCAGUAAAGCCUAACUGCUUCCCCACUUUAUACUGUCUCAACUACAAGAUCUGCAUUAGCAGUAGGAUCCUCUUCUUAGGUUCGAGUGUUGGCAAUGUAGUUAGUUUUGUCGACUCGAGUGGUUCUGCUCGAGCUUUGUCUGCAUCUGCAAGAGAGGUUCCAGUCGAGGAAAGUCUAGGUUCGGGCAAUAAUAAAGUACUGGAUUUGACUAAGCACAGAGAGUUCCAGAAGCAUAAGAAGCAGGAGCUGUUUUCAGAUCUUCAGCAGCAUAAUUGUCAAUUGAAAGUAUUGUUUCAGAAGAUGCAAGAGCAGAUGCCGUUCUAAAGUAAUCUGUGUUUGCAACUCGAUAAGAUGCCUCAGAAAGAUCAUAAGUUGGGUAAUAAUAUCUUACUAGCUUUGAUGCGGGUGAGGAAGACAGUUACUUGUCCGCUUGCAGGGCAGAGCCAUAGGUAUAGGAGCCGAGCCGGAUUAAGGUAUAGUUUACAGAGGUAUCGUAGCCCUAGGGAUAUCAUAAGAAAGGUAGAGAAUGGAGUUUACUACCCGGUAUUGAACUAGUAUUUCACUAAGGAAUAGGCCAAGCAACGUAGCUAUAAGAACAUCCCCUACUAUUAAUAAGAUAAUAUAUAAUUAUGUGUACAGUGUAUGUACUGUGGAAAUUGAAGUAGUUUAUCAUCUGAGUGUAGCUAUCUCGUAAACUCGGUAAAGCCUUUCAAAACUCAUUCCAAAAUAUUGAUGAAACCUAACCGCUGAACUAUAACAGGCUAUUCUAAGGCUUCUUCUCCUAUAACUUGAACUUUCGAAAAAAGAGUCCAAAGAGCCAGAGGAGUCAAAAGAGCUGCGCUACCACUACCAAGAAUGGUGUUUACUGAACACUUAAGGAAUCGAUAAAGUCAACAGAAAAACUACGGAAAUUGAUCCUAAACCUUUAAGAACAAAUAGGCGCCCCGAACACACAGGACAGAUUCCACUGCUCUGCUUUGAGGCGAGGUCUAGGUAAAGUACUGGCUCUGGCUCUUCUCCACUGUAAACUUGAACUGGGCAUUCACUUAGAGCUUCCAAGCAUGGAAUUUCUUCUUACCAACACCCGGAUACUUCUCUUGGAGACUCACUGUUUUCGGGAGCUCAACAAAGUAUAUAGUCAAAGUCUAGAGCAAGUCCCACUUCUUUGACAACUUUCUUUCAUUCCUACUUCUUUGUCUAAGUCUAAUGCCUAUUGGUUUCCAUCCUUUGUUAGCGAGGUAAGCCUUAUUAGUCGCAGUGAAAGCGUGAGUUCCAACCAGGAGUCUUGCCCAUAGUAGUUGACUUCCGAGUUAGCAGUGAAAGCCUUAGUUCUUAGUUUGAGCAUUGUAGUUAUUGGCUCUAUUCCUUGUUGUUGAUUUGAUUCUUUCUAAUAGUCGUUUUCAAGCCUGAGUUCAGAGUCUGAUUGGUAGCGGUUGAUUAUGCCCUAAGUGCAAUUGCUGUUAUCAGUGUUUUGACUCUUAUAGUUAAGAAUUGCCGUCUCAUAGUUAGUAGCUCAAAUCUUAUAGUUAGUAGCUGGGUGCGCUAGAUCAUAUCUGUAUUCUUUAUUCCCCAUUUCAUUCUUAUAUGAAGUAGUGUUUGGCCUUAGAGCCAGGAAAGACUAACUAACAGGCGAAUAUAGAGGAGAUCCUUAUCAGCAAUACCAGAAUCAAAGAUAGGGUAGCGAGGCAGUUAGGAAAGAGAGAUAGGUUUAGAUAUAGGGUCGUAGGCCCGAGAGCCAGUAACUACAGGAACCAAACAAGGAUUUGCAGUUGGAAAGCAAGGUUUGAUACCAGCUGUGGAGGCCCUAGUUCCGAGUUCGAGUGUUACCAGUAGUAGUGAAAGCCCUGUUUGUUGAUAUGAGUUAAAGUAUCAUAAGCACUAGUCCCAAUCUUGUAGUAGUGGGUUCCAGCCUCGACCCUAGUAGUUGUAGUUACCAAAGCAAGGAGCAGUUCACUCGUUCUGGGGUUAUUGAUUUUUGUCUUAUAGCUAUGAGUAGAAGCCUCAUUAGUAGUACCUCAUUUCAAGUGAAAGUCUCGUUGUGGCUCAUUCCUGGAGUGACUAGUUUUCAUUCUUACAAGCAUGGGUUUCAAACUCUCUGACUUCCUUAUUAGUGGGAUUCCCGCCAGUACUGAUUGAAUUCCUUUUCAUAAGAGAAAGUAUUAGAAACACUAGUUCACGUUCUUUUGAGUAUUGGUUGAAGUCCUAUAUUGUCAAUAAGGAAUGAGUGUUAAGGGAGGCAUACUAUAAUAUAAGGUAAUAAAGUAGAUAAGUCAGAAUAGCAGUUAUAGUGCAAAGAACGAUAUAAAGUAGUUGAGGCUGAAGAGCUAGCUGGAGUUUUAAGGCUAAGAAGUCAAAAAGGUGAACUAAAGUCUUGUUGACGGUGGUUUCCGGACUAGGAUAAGGUAGUGUCUGGCUCGGGAGUGAUGCAAUAAGGCUGGGUGGACAAAAGAAGAAGGCUUGGAACUGGACAUAGAGAAUAAGGCUUGGCGAAGAGGUGAGCUAUAAGGAUUGACUACCUGGUGAGUUAGGCUUGUCCCUCUUACGCGGGGGUAAGGUUUGAUUGUGUGACGAGUCAGUGUUGUUGGCAGUGUUAUCCGUCGUGAUUUCAUUCCUUCCAGUAGACGCCAAGCUUAGUUGUAAGUGUAGCUAAAGGGAGCUAAUGAGGCAAGCUACUACUCUAGUUCUGGGUUAGCAGAAUAAACAGGAUCCGUGUUCAUAAUCAAGAUAUUAAGCUUCAGAAUGGCCUGUUCCUGUUGAGUUAGAAGCUUACGGAGUUCCGUGUAUCAGAAUUCUUUGUUGCGAAUCACUUAUUUACCCACGUAGCAGUUAAGUUGAAAGAGAAUGAACCUUAGAAAUAGAAAGAUUAGAUAAGAGGGUAGUAUAGACCCACCUGGUAAUUAGCCAGAGGAUUGAGCUCCUAACACGCUUAACCUAGAUCCACUAUAAGCACAAGCAGGUAAUUUCAUGAAAUAAGAAAAGGUUUCUAGUAUAGCAUAGAAGCGGGUAGUAUUCAAUCAAGAUAAUCUUAUUCCAGUGUCGGUCGAGUCAGAAUUCUCUGCAUACGAUGGAAAUGUUGUUUCUGUUUGAAAGGAAGCUACAAUUCCAGUUGUUUAUGAAGUAGACUGUGCCGAGGAAGGCCUCUUUCUCGUCCUUGAACAUAGGGGAAACUAGUUAAUGGAAUGGCAACCCUAUUAAACAACUUAUCUGCUACACUAAUGAAUUGGAUACUAAUAUCUUAGCUUUGAAGCUCCCUAUCUUAGCUUUGAAGCUCCCGUAAGCGGUAGAGAACAGGAACUCUACUUUGAUUUCAGAAUUCUCCUUUCAUAGCUGCUUCCUUUGGCACUGCUGGCUUUCAGGCUCUUCUACGGCUUAGCCUCUCAUCUUUGCUUUCGAACUCAAACAUCAAAUUCUUCCUCACCAAGAUCCCAGAUCCAGCUUUUACGCCUAAUUGAUAGUUUUAGGCUGGAACACCAUAUCCUUGCUUCUCUUGAAACAGUUUCUUCUCCUUCUCCCGAUGCAGAAAGGAUUUGCGCAAGAGACUUUUGAUACCUAACAGUUGAUUCUGCUUACUUGGGGACAGCUUCCCUUUUGCUUUAAGAUUCCUCUCCUUAUCCUUAUGAUUCUCUAGCUUCUUUCACUUGCAACAGCUUCGGCUUUAGACUCAGAUCCAGCAUCCUCUGAUGUCUACCUUUGAAUUGAAUAUCUCUCUUAUUUAGCAUCUGGUAUAGAAUGAAAUAAAGGUGUCGAACAGAAACUGCAUUAACUCCUCGUCGACAAAGAAUUCUUCAAUAAGGUUGGAUUUCUCAUUAGCUACGUUUCCCCGCGAUGAAAAAAGGGUAUACAAAGGUCUCUGUGUUGGGCCGUUCGAGCAAGGAUCGUUGGGAGUUCGGAUAGCCUUACUGAUCUAUAAGUCAGUUAAGAAUAUCGGCACCACCAAGAGAAUUGAGAAUCUAGAAUUGAGAAUAUCAGCAUCCCCAAGAGUCAAAGAGUAAGCUAAACUCAAUCAAACAUCAAUUGUGGAACGAGAACGAACAAGCAAGGGUGCAAAGGGAAAGGCGGAAAACGGAACUCAUUGUCUCACUUACCGCUUUUUAAGGGCUGAUGAUCUCUCUUCCGCUUCUGCACUUCCAUCUUUUCCUGUUUUCCUCGGUGUACUAUAAUCAAUGAAGUCUUAGCUUACUGAUGGAGAGUCAAAUUGAUAUGAAUGAGCAAGCCGGCUAAAAGAGUUACUGUUCCAUUAUCAGCUGAAAGUAGUGGUGUUGUGUCUUUACGUCAAUCUAUACCUUCUGGCAAAAUAGAACCAAGUCCUGUUAUAACCAAGUCCUGUGAAGAAUCAAGUACAACAUAAUCAGCUGUUUAAAGUGUAGUUCCUGUUUCAAGUUGAAAUUCUGGAUUCUUUGAUUUGCUUGUUGGAUCAAGAUCAGACUCCGGAGUAGGAACUGGAUUGGAAGCUGAAGCUGGAAGGUAAACAAGAUAAUCCGAUGGGCUGUUACGAGCAUAAGCAAGAUAGAUCAGGCCAGGCUCCGUUCUAAAGUAAGCUUAUGAAGUAGGAUAAGGAUCUGAAGUUGUAUCUGGAGAAGAUAAUAUGUAGUUGAAAGAUCUUAAUCCGCUGUUGAAAGAGAGUAAGAUGCAUCUGAGGAAGCUGCCCGCUCGCAAACACCGAAAUAAAGACUUGCUCUUGCCAACAGUGCGUAGAAAGAAGCCAUAAUCAGGUAUAGAUAAAGGUAUUACUAACCUUAUAUACGAUCUCGGCGUAGCGCCCCUAAAGUCAAGAAUGGAAUGGAGCGAGUCCUCAUUCUAGCGUUAUAGAAGUUGCACGUUAAGGAGUGAAGCUUCUGCUUUGGCUUCUGUGCUCGAAUCGAAAGAUUGAAAUGUAGUAUUUGGACUCGGCCCAAGAUUCCUUUACUGGUCUAGGCCCAACAGAGGAAGCUGUUUCAAGUCUUGUUUAGGGUGGGUGUUAGCGAUGAGAGAGGUGAGAGUGUCGGUUCAGAAUCAAGAUCAACUACUAGGGGGUAGCACAUAUUCCUUUUGUAAGGUGCUGAAAGCCUGUUAGGUUUGAUUACUUUCUUCUAUUAGUAGCGGGUGCCUACUCUUUCUUAAGUAUAGUUAAUAAGUGCUAAUUAUGACUAUAGUGGCGGGUGCUAACGUGAGAGAGUUCUCAGUCCAGUCUUAAGAUUGUUUACUAACUUACAUUAUAGGUACACUAAUAAAGGGUUGUUUACUAACUUACAUUAUAGGUACACUAAUAAAGUCAGAGAAUAUGGAAUAGAAGCGCUUUGUUAUCAAAUUAGAGAAUAGGUGGCUCAAUGAAUAAGAGGAAGAAAUAUGGGCUAAGGCAGGUAUUAUUAAAAAAAGGGCAGGGCAUCGCAACAAGUAAGGUUUCAAGAAAGAGUCGAAAGGAAGCCAAAGCAUUAUAUAGAUACUGAGUGGAAAAGAAGCCAAAGCAUUAUAUAUUUAAAGGUCAAUAUUAUACACUUAUAUACUUAAGGCAUAUAGCAAGUGAAAGGUUUCGGCUAACGUAAGAGUUCGGGUGCUUUACUUUCAUCGUGCGGUUAAGAAAGUGGAGUUAUAUUGUCUGCAUGCAAGAUCCGUUAUUGGCUCUAAGUCCGGAGUCAGCUAAGCAGUUAAGUAGAAAGCAGUUGGCGCAGCAGCUAGCAUUAUAAGGUAUAUAAAUCAAGGAGGUAAUAAUCAUAAGAGGAUUUCGCUCUAGAGUCGUAAUUAUGGAAUCAGAGGAUAUAGCCUCGAGAGUCCAAUUCCCAUUCAUGAGUUUCACGUUAAGAUCAUGCGCGUUAAGAAAGGGUGCUCCGUUCAAUUGCUUAGAUUAUAGGUAUAGUCGAUCACAGAAAUAUCACUAUGGCAGUUCCAGUUAGAUUCAAUGAAACAAAGCGAAUGCAAUAGAUUCAUAAGAGUUACAAGAAAGCAACAUUCCUAUACUCUAAUAUAUGGUAUGCGCAAGACAAGAGAAGAGAGAGAGUCAAUGACAUGAUUAACUUCAAGGAGAGGCUCUUAUUGUAAGUUUGCUAAGCAAGAAAUAGAAUAUGUAAGUAUACAGCCCGCAAAGUACUCGAAAUAAGCCUUAUUUCCUUCCUUAGAGAAUUGCCCGCCAAGUUACUAGGUGCUUUGAUUCUUCCAGUUGCUCACAUUCCUCAGAACUCUGGGAUACUGGACUUGCUUUGACUAAAAGACUAGAAAAUCCACCAAUCCAUGUUGACCAAGGCAAUGCUAAUUAUUUCUCGAGUAAAGUUCCUUAUUCGUAGCGGGUACAUCUUUCGUUCGCAGACGAUUCACUUCCCAUUUUCCAUUAGUGAAAAAGCGGGGUUUGGAGAAGAUCUGCCAAAAACUCAACUAGGGGGCAACUACUGUCGUUGAUGUGUGAGGAGCGAUGUAAGCCAAGCCCCUUGGAUUUUGGAUUAUUUGUAAAUUGUAAGCGGCUUGGCAGCUGUCAAAUAGGAUACAGAAGAGAAGGUCCCAUACUAAGAGAAAAACGGAAAGAAGUAAAGACUGUUGCCCGGCUGACAACCUGGCUUUGAAUAGGAAGGAGAUGAAUAGAGUUAUAACAGAUGAAAGCCAAGCGUGGAUAGAAAGUCCCGUAUCGGUUAUGAAAUUGAUAGACCCAAGGCCUGGAGGCAUAGUGACAAUCUCCGCUUGAAAAGCAAAGGGGCGCGUUUCAUCCGCUUAAGCUAGAAGAAACAUGGUAGUCGCCAGGAAGAGAUGCUGACGCGGACAUAUAGUUUUCGUAGAAAUUCCCGGCAUAUGAUUCGACGGCCAGCUGAAGAACGUAGAUUGGAUUAGAAAAAGCAAGCUGAUUAGACUAAAUGAAAUAGGCUUGAAGCACCUUUAUCGAAUAAGGCACUACCCGAGUCAUUCAGCAACGGAAUCCUUCUUAGUAUACGCGGGGAUCCAUCAUUCAUUCCUGCGGUCAUGUAUUGGGUUGAAUGAUGACCUUAGAAAGAGGGUUGGGUAGAUAGGGAUUGUAGUUGCUUUCUAAGCGCUUGCUUCUAAUAAGUAAAGUAAGCGCAUACUCGCCUGAAAGUGGUCUGCGCUUUCCACUCCAUAAGCAUUUCUUAAGGAUUCCCCAAUCGGUAAAUCUCAUUCGACUCGGUCAUUCCUUUGGCAGUCUAGAAUGAUCAAUUCCAGAGCUGGAAGAAGACCUUGAGUAAAUACUCCUAUAUCCCACACCUUGAGUAAAUACUCCUAUAUCCCACACCUUGAGUCUCGCUCGAGCAUAUACGAACCUUGGAUUGACUAUCCCAUAACUGAACUCGUAAACUCACUCCGAUCCUAGCUAAUCUAAGUGCUAAGAGCUUUGAUUUCCCUCCGUUCCUUUGCUUGCCCUACUGUUUAGUCCGGGAGCACAUCCUUAACGAAACUCCUUUCCAGCAGCUGCUGCAGAAGAAGAUUGGUUUCCCUGUCUCAGUCUUGGUCCAACAGAUUAGUACUCCGGCAAAGAGAAAGAAAGAAAGACGACAAUCAAAAGGAUUAAGAAGCCAGCAAGAAAGGUAGGCAAGGAAGGAUUAUAACAGCUUAAUGGCGCUGCUAAGAGCGAGGAAAUAUUAGCCUAUUAAAAGCAAAGAGCACUUGAUCUUAUCUUUAAACAAAACAAACCGUUUGGGAGACGUCGAGGCCAAUAACAAUCAAAGGGGAAUUAGGAUGGUAUAUCAUCUUUUCGUAGCCCCUGAGCCAAGUAGUUGAUGCCCUAAGAUAGCUAGAGAAUUAGGAGCAGGCGAAGCUAUCAGCUUAGGCAAUAUUUGGAUGCGGUUGUAGUGAGCAACGAGAACAAAAGGUGAAAUAAAGAGCUUUUCGCACUAAGGGAUGGAUGAUGCGGCGGUACUUGCACUUUAUAUGCUACCUCGCGUAUUGAUGAAGCAUUGAGUAUUGAGGGAUCUUCGGGGCAAUGAAAUGCAGAAACCCUAUUAUUUCCUCCAAUGUGAGUUAGGGGGGAGGGAUAGCAUAAUGAAAAUAUGUAUAGCCUCGGAUACGCUUGCCUCAGGUGUGCCCCGAGACUUUUGGAAUGAAUAAGAAGCUGUGUAACAAAGAACGAAUGGAACGGCCCGAGACUUUUGGAAUGAAUAAGAAGCUGUGUAACAAAGAACGAAUGGAACUCCACUAGAGGCUAUAUAGUUAAGGCAUACUAGACCAAACUAAAGGGCUGUUAUCAAAACGAUUUCUUGGCGGUGAAAACAUCUACGAAGACAGGACUUGCGGAAUUAGGACUUCCUUCUUCUCCUCUGUUUUAUACCUUCCGGUGUGCGAGCCUUACUAUGUUGCUUCCAACUCGGUAUUCCACUAUAGCACCGAACUCCCCUUUCUCUAUAUUCCCCUAUCUUAUUUGCUUUUAGCGACCUCAACUCGCCCUUACUUAUUAAGGCUUGAUUUCAACAGGCUAGUAGCUAUAAACUCUUUCUUCUUCCUAUAGAUAGAAAUAGAUUAAUCUCAGAUGGAACAUGUACGUGUCAUGUGGAGUUCGCGCUUCAGCUGCAAGUUCAAUUACUGGUGUUCGCGAUAAGAAUGAAUGGGAAGUCAGGGUAUUUACUUGUGUUUCUAUGCCUGAGCUCGCUAAGCAUCUCAUUUCUAUGCCGGAGCUCACUAAUCAUCUAUCUAAAUCAAUAAUGAAUAUAAGGGUCAAGGGUAAUAAGGGUCAGGGUACCUCCUACAGCGCAUUUCGAGAUAUGAAUUCCAUUCUGACUGUUUGAGUGGAAUUCUUGGACUUUCUAGUUUAGAGCGCAUAAAUACUUCAUUUCAUUCUUAAAGUGACGAGUAAGGAGUUGGAGACAAAAGAAUAAUAGGGAGCUGGUAAGGAAGAUACAUACGGUCCGGGGAGAGAAUCAUUAGGUUCGUUCAUGAGUUGUUGACUCGACCAGAUCAGAUACUUUAGAAGAAUAAGGAUAAGAUUCAAAAGAAUGGCUAGUUGGGGGAGUUCCAGAAGAAGAAGUUUCAACAGAAAAAUAGAGUAUUGUUUUGAAACUCUCUUUUGAGAAAGAUAGCCUAGAAGCAAAGGAGUGAUCUCCACUACGAAUGAGAUGUCGUAUACGCAAAAGCUCUUUCCGUUGCAGGUCUGCGUGAGCUCUUUGAAGUAUCUUUCGUUGUAGGAAGAGAUGUAAUUGAGGUUAAGGGUUUCAGGCACUUAUGGGCUUCAGGGAGUUCAGUUCCCCCGAAGCGAAUUCCAUAAAGUAAUAAGGAAUUCUAUCAACUCGUCGAAACUCCAUAUAAUAGAAAUAAGCCUAGGAGCAAUAGACUAAAGAGGUUGUAUGGGGCAUCAUCAUCUAUAACAAAGUAAGUAACAAAGGGAGAAGCAAUAAAAGUAAGGACGGUUGUUAGCAAGUAUUUAUGGCGCGGUAGUAGUCUUUGGAAGCAGUCUUUCUUUCCUUUAGCCGUCUAUCUUCUCUCAAACUAUUGGGCUAUCUAUUUAAGAGGCUUGCUUGGUCUCACAUUCCACAGUCGCUUUCAAAAGAAGAGAAGAAAGGCUAUCGGUUGAAAAAAGAAACUACUAAACGCUUGUUCCAGUAAAUGGCUAUCUUCUUCUAUACGAACUCAUCCUAUGUUUAUUAACGUAUAGGUGUAGGAUAAUGCAGUAAUCAAUAUAGCUUGAAUACGCACGUAACCAUACCAAGAUCUACCCGGAAUAAGACAACUCAGAUCCUCAAAUAGUCAACUCCCUUUUUGCCACGGAGAGCGCCGAGUAUAAAGGGUUUUUUUAGAAUGAAGAGUUCAACAGGGAAAUUCUACACCGGAGAGAGACAAGCAACGCUUAGGUUAGGUCUAUGCCCCUUUUCCUCUUUUAUAAGGGUAAGGAAAAUCCCAUAAAGUCUGUAUGGAGCUCCUAGGCUUUCUCGAAAGAAACUCAAUCCUAUUUGGAAAUCUAGGUUUCAAUCAAUCCUUACUUCAAAUAUGGUUUUCAAGGGCUCGACAGGUAAAGCAAUCUUCUUUCUAACUAAGAGUAAUGAGGAGAAUGCUAAAGAAAGAUAUUAAUAUAGCCUAGGAACAGAGUAGCGACUUGGGCAGUGUUUCAAGCCUAAUACUCGGUGUUUACGAGGAAGUGUGUCUACUUUUUCUCUAUGGAAUUCGAGUCUUUAAAAGAAGCUAAGCUCCACAGUAUAAAGGUCAAGUUUGAGUGGUUGCGUUAAGCGGAGCGGGACAAUCAGUGUUAUCGUCGGGACAAUCAGUCUUAUCCUAUUAAGAAUAAUAAGAAGCAUCAGCUCUAUAAACAGGACUUUUGCGUAAGUAGUUCCUUGUUGAAAGUGUAGUUUUUGUUGAAAGAUAAGAAUCCGCGGAAUGACCAGUUCUUGGAUCCGAAGUUAGAUUCUACUUUGACUCUCAAGAGAAGAAUGGAAUUGCUGUCGGCAUCGGUAUCCGCUAAAGUACUUUACUAAACAGGGGAUCUGCGAGUGAAUGAAAUGGAACGAUUAAGCUCAGUAUUAGCAAGAGGGCCAGCCAAGCGCUAAAGGGGUUGCGCGGCAGGAGCGGUUCAACUACAGAGGUUAAUAGAAUUCAUUCUGAUUAUAUCUACUCCCUUGCUCUCUUUUGUAAAAGCUCUCUUUUUUGUGCCCUGCGCCUUUCUUUAGUCUCUACCAGUUAAUCGGGGAAGUUUAUCUACUAAGGUUAUUCUACCUACCUGACCUAGGAAAAGUCCAUCCAAAAGGAAAAGACAUGACUUAAGCGAGGAAGUUUAAGCAGGAUCCAGCAAUAGUAUCCGAGGACUUAGUGAGAAAGCAAGUUCAAUAGCUAGGUCAUUAAAAGGAGCAGAAGCCUCUUAUGGGGCAGCAGGGUAGGAAACCCAUAAUCAAGAUAGAACCUUUCAAUAGACUCCGAAAUCAAGAGAUCGGCAUCCUUCCUUCUUAUAAUAGUGUUCCCAGCUCUACGAAAUGAAAUAAGUUCAUGGUUUGUGCUUUUGAUUGUCUAUUCUCUAAAAGGAAAAGGAAAGAGCGGUAAUGCUGACUCUCCUGGUCAAUAGGGCUAUGAAAACCAAUCCAUCUACCCUAAGCUGUUACAGAAAGAGCUUCAGAUCUGAUCGUAGAAGCGAAACUAGUUGCCGGUACUAUUUCAUCAGCAGUGGGAUGCUUAGACGGUGGUACUAGUGCUUGAGUCAGCGGUGCUCCCUUUUUGCAAUUACCGCUGCAGAAUAGUCAUCCCUAUAAGAAGCAGUUGGUCUUUGUCACCGUCUAUCUUUAUUCCUCUUAGGGCAAUGGGAUAACAGUGCAGCAGAUAAAUGGAAUCCAAAGUCAAGCUAUCCCAAUUGAAUCAGUAAGCGCGGGUACUAUUGCUAGAGAUUUGGAUAGUGUUCAAUCAUCCGCAGCUCUCUUUCCAGCAAUCCAACUCCUGCGCGUGACUAAGGCGCAACGGAUAGAGCUAGCUUUCUGCCCGAUACCUAUGGUCGAGUGACAAAGGGAGUCGCUUGUUCCCUCCCAGGGCUAUCUUCUUUCCUUUUGGAUCUGCCCUUUUGACCUAUGAUCCAUGAGUCCCAUUAUAGAUGAUAGCAUCUUCAAUAGGGUGUUCAAUGAAAAAGGAAAUAAUCCUAAGGUGUGUAAUCCCUUAGAAAUAGAGAGAGUGUUGGUAUGGCCUACUCAUGUUACUUAUAAUUAUACGAACUUAUUCCUUUUCUGGGGGGAGACGACAUAUCUAUAUCUAUUUCUGGAUAUUUCAACAAUAAAAACACGGAAUUGAUUCUUUCUAUCUGGGAACAAAGGCUAUAAGAGAACCAUAAGAGAAUCAGUAGCUUGCUUUAUAUAGGAAAGGAAGUCAAGAUGAGCUCUCUUCUGACACUCUAGGCUAACAGAACUCACUUUCAAUAGGUAGACAAAGAUGUUUACAUGAAGUGCAAAAGUUCCCCAGACGUGGGUAUGGACUAGGGGCAGAGAUUCUUUGAAAGAAGACCGCUUUGCCAUGAAGUGCGGUUGAAAGAUCGGAUUCUAAUAAGCUUAUUGGGGGUUUUUAUGCCAGUUAAGUUACCAGUCCACCUCUACCUUUUCGGCUUAGCCACUUCACUAGCCUAGGAGCUAAAUGGAAGCUCAGCAUUGGGGAAUAAGGGAGUUAGGUCUUUGCUUUUGAAUAUUGAUGUGGUGGAAUGUCGCCUUUUUUAGGGAAUAGAACAAUAACGAUGUGGGAAACGAUACAGAUGAGGAAGGUGCUAAGAGCCUAUCCAAAACAAAACCUACGAGCUAAGAGAAUCUCACUAAAAAGGAAGCGAGCACGAAAACGCAUUCUAAUGCCCUGGAGAGCCUGUCUCCGAAAGUGGAUAUUCCCUGUUUUCAGCGAGUACGAGUUUAAGUACCGAGUCAUUAAUAGAUUCUAUCUUAUGUCCUGAAUGAAUAGAUUCUAUCUUGAUGCAUUUUGUAAGGGGCACUUUGCCCGAUUGGCAUUUCUUUCCAUUGUCCUGAGUCUUUGGUCUUUCUUUUGACCCUGGUAGUCCCUAUGGCGUGUGAAUACUAAACCUAAGUAAAACUCCCCCUCUUUCUGCCUUCCCUUAUUUUGGUUAUAGUUUCCCUGUCUGUUACAGAUCCUGUGAGCAAGAAAGCAAGUAGGUGAGCAGGAAGAACCAUUGGAAAUGAGAACUCAUCGGGCCAGUUCAAUUGAAGAAAGUUCCAGGGAGUUACUUUGAAAGCUAGUGACUAAGCAAACCGAGCAAGCUCUUUGCCAGAGAAAGGUCGCUUUUAGGCGCAGUGAAUUGGCUUUCUCUCUUGAUCGUAGAUAUUGGACUAUCGGGAGUUUGACACAGCCGGGGCAUGACAUAUGAUAGGGACUACCCGCCUGGCCUCUCCGCCCAAGCCAUAUGAUAACACACACCGGUGAGACAAGAUAGCAGACGGAAAGUAAGGUUGGCAGUGAUUCACGAUGCUUAAAACAUGCUAGUCGGACUCGGGAAGGAGCACCGGGCCUACCUUUACUCGAGUUCUCCUGAAUAAUAGCGGGACGCUUCGACGUCUAAGAAGUAUAAAAGGCAAGUAAGGACAGCAGUACUGAGCUACGGAUAUGCUUCUCGAAUUCAAAAGCACUUUCUCUAUCGCUUCUAUGAGCUUCGCUUUAGGGAUGGGAGACCUCAUAAUGGAUGUUGAGUAUUCCAAGCGGUCCUUUCUUUACCUCUGCUAGGGAAUUGAUUGUCUUUAUUAUUCCUAUUUCUUCGGGGGAUUUCCACUAAGAAAAGUAUUCUCCCGGCCCCCCUUAUACAAUUAUUGCCUAUCCGCUCUGGUAAUCAUUCCCAGCUUUCCAAGCCUUUUUGCUUAGGUAUCGGACCAUCCCCUCUGCCUUUACUUUCUUUUAUAGUAAAGAGUCAUUGUGCCUUUUCCGUUAGUUUACCUCGUUGCAAUCUUUCCAGUAGUUUAUGCGUUCGAAGCAGCCCAUUAGUCUAUUUCGUCUUUCUUUCUAGGAUGGGGCUUUCUUCCGGAUGGAGCACCAUUCGUCUAUCGAGUUUAUGUGUUUUUCAGUGGUUGAUUCAAGACAAACAAAGAAAGUCGUUAUUCUAAUAGUCAUAAAGCUGUCCCUUGUAAGUACGAUUAAACGAGCGAGUCCAUUGAAAAAGAAAUGGAGUGGUUGUUCGCUCCUGAACGAAGCUGCGGCUUUGAUAGCAUCAAUGAGAUCCAUCAGCCCCUAUCCGUGUUUUGAGAAAUCCCUCUCUGGUAUCAUCUACUGGCUUACCCUUACUAUGGCUUUUCGAAAGCAACUCCAUUUCUCACUCUAUAGAAAGAACGAACAUCCCAUACAUACUUGCUUGCCCUAAUCGAAUGUUCUCCCUUACUCCAUCCCCCAAAAGAGCUUAUCCUUUUGAAUCUAAUGCCAUCUUUUCCAACUCCCUUUCUUCCCGUCUCAGUCAUCUCUCUUACCUUCACAUAGAAUAUCAUGUGUUAGAAGGAAAUACUUAAUUGACAGUUGAUCUUGACAGUGGAUCUUGCUUCGAGCUCCCGUGAGCUGUAGUAUAAAACUAACGGACCACCCCCAAACUCAUAGUCUGGAAGCUAACGCACUUGUUCGAAAGAAACGGCUAACUCACUAACGCACUCAGGCGACUACAAUACUAAUAAUCACCUAUUCUCUCACUCAGGUCAACUAACAACGGAACAAGUAAACAAGACUCAUACAACGGAGGAACAAGUAAACAAGACUCGUGACGCGUUCAUUAAGAGUUUACGCACCGCAAUGCAUUAUCAAAGGGGCUAAGCAUUCUGUCUUCAAUUGACAUAGGAUUCUCAUCGGGACCCCCGGUAAUAGAAGUUCGGAUUACUUGAGAACGGAUAAUAUCUGGUAUACUUUCCUCCCACUGGGGAUUCUCUGGAAACUGUUGGAACAAGUAAGAAGCAAGUCAAGAGUGGAGUCAUAAGAUAUUCAGUAUUCUCCAUUAGCUACGUCACACAUUGGUUAAACGACCGGAAAUAUAGGUUGGAUACCAUAGGACUUCUGGAUUGGAUACCAUAAAUAAGGAAAUAGAGGUUACAGCCUUAAACAACGAUAAAUAAAGCGUCGACUUUCUUUCUUCAGAUCCAGCAUCCUCUAUAGCAACUGAUCCUUACUCUGUCUGAUCUUGUAGACUUUCAAUGGAGUUGACCGCGAUAGAGAAUAGUCUGGAUUAUUGACAGGCCAAGUAGUGGGACUAAAGUGGGAUUUAUUCCGCGCAAAAUGGAGAAUGUCCUUUUUAAGGCGAGUUCUGUUUCCUUGAUUGGCUGGCACUAAGCUACAAACGCAGAAAAGAGCGAAGAAAGUAUCGGCUUGCUGUCUUAUUUGAUUAACUAAAGCUGGUGAUCCAAUACCACCGAGUUGUUCACUAAAACCUGAACAGAAGACAGACCUAGCUAUGCCCAGAUCUAAUAGACUGGAAUGCUGGGGAUGAAGAUAAGAAUCAAUAUUCUACUAGCUUUGAAUUCACUCGUGCCCUUUCUUGCAAUUGAGUCAAGUACUUUUGUUUAGCGCGGUCUACUUAAGUGGAGAAAUGGAAUAGAGAUGUUGUGCCACCUAUUAUGGAAUGAAGUAACCAAACCCCACUCCUAUUACUUACUCGUUGCGAGUGACUAAGUGAGCGUUAAGAACAAGUCCUAAUUUCCAGACGGAAAUGCAUUAUCAGAGCCGUAACGAUACCAGAAUGGAAUGAUGGAUGGAUUUGCCAUUUACCUAGCUCCUCAUUCCGUUUAUUCAUACUCUUUCUUAUGGCCCAACUCCUGAAAUGCGGUAAGUAAGUGAAUAUGUUUCAUCAUACUAAGAAUAAGAGGCGUCGUCAGUGAGCGAGAAAGAAGGCUCCUUUAUUGGAAUUCGCAACAAACAGGGGAGGGUCCGCGCGUUGUCAAUCAGUAUCCGGGUACGAGUUCAGUUUCCGAGGAUAUUUGACAGACUGGAAUCAGGAAUGCUCAUCUCCUUCCGUUAGCGAGUUCCGACCCGACCCCCUUUCUGUUACCAAGAGAAUGGAAUGCACCACAGCUUGAAGGUAAAGGAUAGAGGCUGUAAAGUCAAGAGCAGAGCAAGAGGGCAAACAAACAAGCAUAGGAAGAGAGAGCGAGCACAAAGUGAAUCUUUUAGGCGUCAACGUCGUAGAACAGCCAACAAGUUCUUUAUUUCAAUUGAGCACAUAGUUGGUAUAGAACGGAGUAAAUACACAGCUACCCAAUCUCAUUUGACUUCCACUGAUCUUACAGAGUCUUAUCCCUAUUCUUCUCUUACUCCCGAAAAACGUAAAUGAAUCCAUCUCUUUGAAAUAUCUUAUCGGACUUGAAACAACUCCACUUUCCAUCCUACUUGCUCCUCGCUGGUUCAGCUACCUAUGCUCUGUGGUUACCAACUUCAAUAGAAAGUUCCCGAACACCCGAGCAACUGCAACAGUCACUCACUUUAGCACAACGUCUUGACCGAACCUAUCUCAUAGACUUAGAGCCUAACACUUCCCUCUCUCUCAUUGAUUGAAUACCCUUAUGUGGAAAUGGGAUUCUAGCCUAACUAUCCUGAUCCAGUAUCUUCUUGAGCCUGUUUUCACCUGCUUCGGCUGGGCUUCUUCCCGAACUCGACUUAGAGCUAGAUAGAGCACCAACACUCGAACUUGAUCCUCUUCUUCUAUCGGAGAUGAAGGAACUACAGCCAACUCCUCUCUCCACGACAAGAAAGAUCAAGCCAAGCACCAAACCACCUAACUUUCUUAUUUCAAGCCAAUAACAAAACCACCUUCACUUUCUUAUUGUAUCCCAGCCAAGCACCUUUCCUAUACAACACUCGAACUAGGCGAACUUAACUCUACUCGGGCGAUUGGAACUCUCUGAAAGUCUGACUCUGGGCUGUAAACCAACUAAUCAGGAAUGGAAUCUUUCAUCAUUGACUCUGAUUACCAAUAUGAUUUCUAUAUAAGACAAAGCUUGUUCUUUUGCUGCCCUCUUUGCGCCUGCAUCCUCACAUUUAGGACUUAGAUCACACCUCGCUUCAAAACCUCAUCAUCUUGAAACUACUUAUCCAGGUGCUCUUACUCUUUGGGUUAUAGUUUCAGUGGAAUAUUCGCCGAUAUAAGAUGCUUUAUCUGAUUCAUGAGCGGGAUAAGGAUAUGACAGAAAUUCCUUGUUCAACUGAGAAUCAUCUAUAUCGCCACAACUGAUAGAAUGGAGUAACCUAUAAAUGCUUCCAUGUUGAAUGAGGCACCGCCAUCCCUACUUUAAUAACUCCGCUAGGCAGCUUCACGCUAGACUCCAGUACUUUAUUGACUUAUUGCCCUAGCUUUAGUCGGAGGAGUGUAGUGGGCCAGAAGAGAAGUAGAAUUCCUGUUCUUUAACGUUACUAGAGUAUAGUUCCUGUUCUUUAGCGUUACAGAAGUCUAGUUUUGAGUUUCCAUUUACAUUUCAUAAUUCUUUGUUGUGAGAUAAGAUAGAGAUGUAGAAUGUUAUGUUACCUUGCUUCUUUCUAUACGAGGAGAGUCAACAGCAAUAAAGGGAAAGUAAACAAGAGAGAGAUCAGAGGCUUUCUCAAGAACAAGCACUGCAGAGUUAGAGUAGAGAUUCCCUUACAACACACACUCGCACCAACAUCCACUACAUGCAAUGAAACAAGCAAACAUGCAAGAAAUUGAGUAACGACGCUAAAGUGAGCCCCGUAGGCAUGAGAUUCGAGCUAGAUGAAGCUUCUUAAAGCGAAUAAAGUAGAACUCGCCAUUAGACAAGUAACUACAGGAAAUCCGCUGCCAUAGGUGGUGUUGGUGUUGUAGAAAGUCAGUUAGCUGCAAUCUGUUCUUUAAGUAGAGUUUAUUGUGUUGACGACGAGCAGGAGGGAUAGUUCAAAUGCAUUCUCUAAGGGCAGUAAGGGUAGCAAGGGAAGCUGCAAGCGCUAAGUCAAUGAGUUUCAUCACGAGAUCCGUCUUAGUUGGUUCAACUUCAAGUUAACGUUCACUUAUUGCUUGUUCAGUUGCAAGAGCUGGAUCAGAGGCCGCAAACAGUUAUGAAAGUGUAGUUCCUGGAAUCAAAAGAAAGGGAGACAAUGAAACGGAGUAGCAACGAUACCUUUCUUUAUUAAAGGGUGCGCGAAAGCGAGUUGGGGCAAGAUCAAGUAAGUCAGCAAACAAUAAGGGAGUAGUAGACUCGGCCGGGUCAGUGAAAUUGAUCUGCAGCAAGUGGGUCAUCUUCAAGGGGAGAGUUAGGGUUACUCAAUAGCAUAGUAGGUUCACUUAGAUAUGAUUUCUAGGAGACAAGUUUUCAUAUGAUUUAUAGGUAAAGAGUUUUCAUAUGAUUUAUAGGAGACGAGUUGUAUUCUGCUACGUCGCGAAGGUUAGUUUACCACCCGGAUACAUAACUAGCUGGAUUGCUUCCUUCAACUUAUUCCUCCGUUGCUUGUUCUGAUACGAAAACAGGAACUGCUGAAGGAUCCUUCUAAUAUUAACGCUUCUUGAUACUUUGAACACUGGAGAACAGUUUUGAUAUGCCGAGCUAAUAUCUCUUUGAGCACUACUCUACUAGGCGAGAUCCCAUUUCUCUACAGAACCGACCUACCCAGAGCUUCCAGAUAUGAUUACACAAGAACGGAUAAAACAGCACUUGCGCACUUAUGAAUUCUGCCGAAAACCUUAAUGGAAUCUAUCCACUUAUAUAAAUGCAGGUCAACAACUCCCUUUAGCACUGAAGAAGGAAUUGAGGCAAACGGUUAACUUACUAGUUUUCUGGUUUGUGGAAUCUUUCUCGCAUAUAACAGAAUGGAGUAAACAACCAUCAUUGCUUCGCUUAGUCGCGGAAUAGUUUCUACUGGCCAGACGCGCGCAGCUGGAUGCUUCUCUUCUGCUAAGGCGGUGUUUCACCUUUCAAUUCCUUUCCUCUUUGAGCUUUAAACCCUUUCCAUUCCUUUUUCACCCCUGAAACAAUAAGCUAGCUUUCAAUCCUUUCCUUUCACACCCCUGCCCUGAAAACAAUAAGCUCACUUGAUACCCUCACACUCCUUUACUUGACUUCAAAGACAGACUUAUACUUACAACUUCAUAAGCAAAGCCAUAAUAAGCGCAAUCACUGGUCUCGCCAACAAGGAUUCCAGUCUAACAGAGCUACAUCGGGAAGCCCAUAAUCAAAGUCAAGGCAAUAUCCGUUUACCUCAUAAGCAGUUGGCUUGGACAAUCAGUGGACUUCAUAAGCCCAACAUCAAAGAACGAAAUCUCACUCACUGACUGACGUGUUUAAGUUCCAGAGGUGUUAUCGACCAGAGGUGUGUCUUAAUAAGUGAAGUUCCCCAACCCCAACAAAGAGCUUGAUAAGGCCCUAAUCGUUCAGCUCGUACUUAUCGCUUACUUGACCCGUUGCUUAUUGACUUCCUACUUAUUACUUAAAGAAUGGACCAUACUCCUCUCUACCCUUUUGUUCCGUAGUGCGUUAGCCGUUGCGCCUUUGCUUAGUGGGUGCGUGAGCUUACUCUUGGUCUUGUUCGUUUCGCAUACUUGUUCCUUUGUAGAUCAGAUCUCGGAUCUUGCCUGGAGUGCUAGUGGAAAGUCAGAUAUCCGCAUCUAGGGCAACUCGGUAGUGAAAGUCAUAAUGAAACUCUCAAGUAGGCAAGUAGGAGUUACUGAAUUGAACUCAGUUAGUUAGCUCCACUCUUAUUCUUAUACCAGAUAGUUAGUUAGCUCCACUCCAAGCCUUUACCUACUUAUCUUUCCAAGUCAUCCAUGUGGCUAAGCGAACUAUGGUUACCUACACGGGCCCCACACUACAUCCUAGGGUCUAGAGGUCUGUCAAACCCCGAUCCGGCUGCUCUGGUCGAGCCAAUCGAGAUAAUCAAAUCACUUCCUAGACUUUUCUCUGUUUAGUCCUACCGAACCAAAGGCUUAGCCUUGCAUUUCCCUCUUCUCUCAAUACUCUAUUCAGAAAAAAGGGCUUUCAGCACCCGAACACAGUUUAAGCUCCUGUUUUCGUUCCUUUCCCUAUUAAGUAAGUCAGGAUUUCUAAAGGACCAACAGGAACUUCCAAGAUUAUGGAAGCUGUCAUGAGUGGUUAUGCUUUGAUCUCUCAUCCCGUUCAUAGAGGAAUCCUUCCCCGACAUAGUAACCUCCCUUGAGAAGCAGGAUUCCCACUUACAUAGUUUCAGGCUCUAAAAUAGGGUACUGCCCGGUUCUCUUCUACCCUACACACACCGCCAAUCUAUGCUGAUCGAUAGCCCGACCGACGCAUGGUGUGCUUGCUUCUUCCUGGAGCUAAUGACUGGUACAACCACAUCAAUAGGAAAGGUUAUUGUCAUGACAGACAAAACAAAGGAUCGGUUACGCGAAGUGCCACUUUGUGGUCACGGCUAAUCUUAACCAAAGAAAGUCUGAUCUCAGUCAGCAAACAAACGAUGAACGGUUGCAUUUGACUUUUCCCUUCUCUCCGUUUGAUUCAUGGUUCAAAACUCAGAGCUUUCCGCUAGCCCCCUGAUUCUUCAAAAAAGGAUUCCUAAAAGAGAUAUCAAUGGAAAGAACAACCAUGACUGAUCUAGUCUCCGCCACUUUCCUGUUUAUGGUAACUAGAGCUUGAGCAUCGCUUGAAAAGCUGGUACUUUGCUAUAUAGGUAGGAAAGACGACCUGACCUUCCAGAUCGACCCGGACUUAAUUAAGGUAUGUUAGUGGAGCAGUGUUUUGGGGAGCCCCGACCUUUUAUAUCAUACAAUUAUGGUGCUUAACCAAGGCCACCUCCAGGCUAUCUGUUCCAAAGGAUUCCUAGAGACGGGCACCAGUAUUCGGACUAUUAGAGCUAGAUUCGUUCCACUCAUGAAUUUAGUAGUAUAAAGCCCUUGCCUUCCACCCACCAAGUAAGGCCGUAGCUCGAGGAAUAUGCUCCAUCGAUUGAACUCCAUUGUCUGCGCUUCCGGUUUAGCUGGACUUUAGAUCAUCUUUUGUGACCUCUACUUAUCUUAUGCUGCACGUAAGGUAUAAUGAUUGCAAGGAUUCUUAUACCACCUGGCCACUCCUAUAACGCGUCGUGAGAUACUUUUGCAAGUCAGAUCUACACACAAUAGCAUAGGACCCCGACUUUUGAGCUUAGCUGUAUCCUCAUACGAUUGGCCCUACUCCACUAGCAAAAGAAUACAGAAUUGCUGGUCCACUUUAUUGACCGGGAGUGCACCGAAGAUUAUCUAAACCCGCCUUAUGCAAUACAGCUGUUUCCUGCCGACGGUGUCCACCUUAUUAAUAACCUUAUAUGGAACUUAUUAAGACCCGGAUAGUGAGUUACAGAACCAAGCCUAGGAAUCCAAGCCCGAUACUGGUGAGGAGCAUCCUUCACCUGGGUAGCUAAGGUCUCAAACGACUCCUACUUAUUCUUCAACACUGCCCACUAUUCCCUUACUCGCCUACCGAUUCCCUGUCAUUAGCUUGGUACUUCAGACUGAAAGCAAGGGUAGCUAGACUCUGAUGCGGUGCCCUGUUUGGUUCAACUCUUUCCCGUGGUGGGCGAAGUCUUGUUAGCGCUAGUAUAAGAAUGCAAGUAAUAAGUUUCAGAGUUAGAGCAAAGACAGGAAGAAAGGAACUCAGAUCACUGCCACAUCAGAAUGCAACUGGUCGAUGUAAGGCUAUAGCUAACCAAUUGGAGUUUCAGAGAAGAGGAUUGGAAAGUGUAGUUUGGAACUGAAAGUGGAGAGUGAGGUUCGAGCUCAGGGUAUCCUUCUUUAGAGUCAGGGCGGUAGCGAGUUCCCGUUACGCGUCAGUUUCCUUAACAGGGUUCGCUCCCCCAGCUCAAGUAUAUUCUUCAAUUCCCUUAUCUUAGCCUGCCCUGCCAAACUUUUCUUCUUUAAAUAAUGGAAUGGAACCUUGUUUUGCUACUUCUAGGCCUUACGCUCUUAACCAAUAAUUCCUAUAGCCCUUUGUUAUAGGCAUCAAAUGCAUUAUAAACUCUAUUAGGUGUAAUAAAUGAUCUAUUUGUCAGAAAACCCCAACGGUUAUGUUAGAGUUACAUUUCUACGAAUCUAUUUAUUAGGAAAGACAGAAUUCAAUCAAUCGGCCUGGGAAUCAAAGUGGAAAUAAGGGAUAAGUGUUUCAGUUACGGGAAUGGAACCACUACCGACAAUACUCGUGCUCAUAGCUCGGGAGGCCCACUACUAUUUCUUGGACGAAAACUGCUGAUUCGGAUCUUUGAACAAGAAACUAGGGUACUACCUCCACCUAAUCAGAAUGAAAUGCAGAAGUCAGAACCCCACUACUACCAAAAAGAGUUGAACAAGCAACAGGGCUUGAGGGCAAUAAAGGGGGAAUUCCAAUAACAACUAGGGAAUCCACUAGUUAGUAACGGACUGAAAACGACUACCAUUACUAUUAGGCUCGGUACAAGAGUAGGGAACCCAACCUAACCAAAGGAAAGGAAAUAAAGGAGGGCCUAGUCAGAAUAGACCUCGGGCGUAUGAGACCUUAACUAGCAACCGGGAAAUCAACUAUUCACUGUGGAGCUCGCCUAGGGACUUGGAAUUACCCCACUGAGAACAAGACCUUAGUUAAUGACUUUGAUUCUGACUUAUUAAUUUCAAUAUUCCCUUCCUCACUUUCAUUCUAUAUCUAGCGAUCCACUUAUUCGUUUUCAAACUACCUCCUCUUGCUUUCAUUCCCGCUUGUCAACUGCCUUACAUCCUUGCUUUACUACACCUAAAGCUGCCUUUACUGCUUUUCAUUCCGGAAUGUCAGUAUUCCUUUAUUGAUAAGUAGAAUGGGUUUUCUCAUAUUAGAAAUUUCAUCAAAUACUGGGGUGUGUUGUGCCAUACGCGGGUUUCAAUCAAUGUAUCAAUCAAUAGGCAAGCAAGGGGUUUGUUGACGAGCAAGUAAGGUUUCUCAUAAUAAUAAUGGUUGUGUUGUCGAUUAAAGAGAGGGACCGGGCCUAAGAUCAGAGGUUGGUUAGUUGAAAGCCGGUGUGAAAGCCUAACCCUAAAACAAUGGAGUUAAAGCCAAUAUAACUUGUUUCACUCACUUAUUAGAGAAGAGAACGGAAUACCAACAAAAGAGAUAUAAAGGUGCCUAUAAGAUAUUCGAAUUAGAUCAAAGGAAUGGUUAGGCUAACAGUCAGAUACAUAGGAGCAGGUUCCACGAUUGAAGAAGAAAAGUCAGUAAAGGACAGGACCAUAAGCAAUAAGGGGAGCGAGUGACCCCUGCCUUACUUUCAAACUGAGACUGGUGCCACCAAGACAGGAACCUGGGCAUACAGGAAUGGAAACAGCUACGAUAACAAGGGCUGAAACAAGUGAUUCUAUUACUUUAACUAGGAACACUCCUGGGAAACAAACAAAUAAGUAACCAUAGACUUAACCAGCACAAGAACUCCACUUUCAUAACAAUCCUACUAGGAACAACUCAGUACUUAUGGACCACCGGGUCUUAAAGCUUAGGGGCAUAAAUAGCAUUUUGUAAUCAACAGGGCCUCUAUCUUUUUGCUUUGAGAGCUAGUUUAGUCUAGGCUAGGUUCGUAGCGAGUGAGUGUUCUCCUAUAAGAAUAGAAUCCAUCUUAUAUCAAUUCAGGUCUACUCGUCACUCCCUCCCUUAGCAGAGUCAAACUCCCACUUUCCACUCUUAUUUAGCUGUAUAGGGCAGUAAACUAAUCAUUCAAUCUAUCUUGCACAACUAUACGAAUAGCGUAGCCGGACUGGACUGCUUCCUUUACUCCAAUAACAGCUGACUCAACCCUUUACUUGCUUUUUCCUCCUCCUUAAGUCCCAUCCCAACUCAAUAAUGCGGUAAGCAAAGCAGUCUAAUCAUAUAAAGAAGCGGAGAUACAGCAGUCUCAGUAUAAAGGUUAAGGCUCAUGUGAAUGAGUUUCUUUCUACAUUAACGAGAUACUAAAGACUUUCUACUUCACUUCUCCUCCAUUAACCACAAAGCAAAGUCGGGGUUAGGGAGAGUGUCGUUUUCAGUAAAGUAAUACGGAUUAUGCACCCUAUACAAUGGAAAUAAGUCAGAAUACUCGAAACUAACUCAAUAAUUAAAGGAAGUAGUUCAAGCUUCCAGUAAAUAAGUCUCAUUUCUUCUGGUUGGCUUCUGGAACUCUAUCACUUAUUGCCCGGCGCACAAAGGCAAACCUUCUUAUUGAACUCGGACACUUAUUCCCAUAAGCAAUAGCUAUACAAGAAUGAAGCUCUAAGAUAGGAAGAAGUCUCUUUACUUGGUUUCUAUACCAUAGCUCGCUAACGGAGCCCUUAGCUUGUAUACUAUAGGAUUGUUAAUCUCAUGUAUCCCAUCCUCUGCUACUACAUAUCAUGUAGCCUAUCCCCUGCUACUACAUCUCUUGCAUCCGCAUCUUCACUGAACCGACCCAAACUGGACUCUGAAACUAGGGAAGGUAAAGCACGACAAGGUCAAGCCGAUAACCUCUAGCAACAAAGGUAAAGAACUCAACUUAGCGCUUCAACUCUGUUGAUUACCUGUAUCCAUAAGAUCUCGGUGUAGCUCUAGAGUUAACCCUUUCGAACAGCUUCCACAGGUGAGAUUCCCGCUUCUCCAUUUACACCCCUCGCAUUAGUACUGACUGAGUCUUGUUGCGCCGAGGAAAACAGAUGAACUAUACUCCUUUCUUUUCUUGACUAUUGAUUUUCAUUGGACUAUCCGUUUCUGGUUCAUAUAGGUUAAACAAGGAUAAAGGUGGGUUCCCCUAGUAGUGGUCAUCAAUUUCUUGUCCAAGCAAUAGUGGACUUUAUAUACGCGUCAACAUCUUGUCCCGAAUAAGAGUAGAGUAGUCAGGAUCAGAAGCUUAAGCAGGAGAAUCAUCCGUUGGAGUUGAAUCCCAACAAGCGUAUACUAGACAAGUAGAGUGAGUCUGGUUAGCCCGGUAUUAAUAACAAGUCUAUAUGAAAUCAUCUGUGUUGUCGACCUCUUUGACCUCAUUGUAUACCUCUUGUACUAUACCUAUGGCUCUAGUACGGUUGCUUGGCCCGUUGCUUGGUCGCAACAUUAGUAGUUGUUUGUCCCGUUGCUUGGCCCUACCGAUGUAAUACUAUAUUCUAUUAUGUUAUUAACUUAGGGUCACAGAACUACAGGGUCACUGAACUACCUUAAGCCCCGAAGUCACUUCUCCUCUCUUCCCUCUCGACAGGGAACAACGCUAGAGUCAUUCUCAUUCUCUCUUACCUGUAAACAAGAAGUGAAAGCCCUAGGGAAAAGCGUAGCUCCGCGUAACGAAGCGCUUCUUCUUCCUUCGGUUAGUACAGCCUAUGUUCGGGUAGACUUUCUCUAUGUUUUUCCAAAAGGGGUCUGGUCUGGGAGUUCCAUAAAAUAAGGAAUCCUUCAAUCAAGCUGGAACUCUAAAUAAAGUCAUUCACCUGGCGUAUUGAAUGCUUACUUCACUCCCUUUAGACUAGGUAAAAGACUGACUAUGGAUGUACUCAUUAGACUAGGUAAAAGACUGACUAUGGAUGUACUCAGUGGAGGCAGUUCAAGCUUACGGCCCUAUCUUUACGUGCUUUGUUACGUAAUCUUCGAUAGAAUCCAAUGUGGUGGUCAUUGGGUACUAAACACCAGUGAAGCUAGUCCAAAAUGAUGGAAGGAGUCAAUUCCUUCUAUGAUCCACUAUCGAUGGCACAAGAUGUAAAGAAGGGUAUGCGCUUUCGGGUUGGAAAGGGCGAGUACACGGGAUUCAGCUGACUUGACUUUAAUAGUAUCAUCAAGUCCUUGGGGCAGUCACAGAGUGGUUUUACCUGGUUCAAGUUAUGGUUCCCACGUUCCCCAAUGGCAGAUCCUUCCGUUUGUUGCCUUACCUUCUUCCUUGGUUAUUCACCCGAUGUUUUCAAUUCGUUGAAGCAUACCCUGGUUUGUGAACCUCCUCGACGGAAUGGUUGCCGGUUCGGUGAAGGCCUUACUGGAUCACUCCAUGUUUCGGAGCGUGGGUUAAGGGCAGCCAGCCAAGAAUAGCUAGGGCGUCUGCGGUUUUUCUCGAUCAACGUGUACCGAACCUAAACAUAGAAUUUGGUUUGACUGAUGAAGCGCCCUUUCUUUUCCUUACGCAUCUGCUUGAGCGAGCAUUCUGCCUAGGCACUUUCUUUGGAUAGCUAAAUAGACGAGGAAAGGCUGGUUUAGUAGGCCGGGCCGGGGAUUCCGCAAGUCUUCUUUGAUCCUGUCUGUCGAAGGCUGCCUGAAAGGAUUCAUCCCGCAAGGUAAGGUCUCGUUCCUGCGGGUAGUAAACCGGUUAUAAGAUUCUUUCUAUCCAGUAAGUCAUUUCUAUCCUGUGUAAGUAGAAGAUUCUUUCUAUCCAGUAAGGAUCUUCCUUGCCUUUCCUUCCUUGGGGGAGAUUAUGGAAAGCAGACAUCUGUCUAUUCAAAUAGAUCCAUUUACCUUGACUAAAUGACUAAAUACCGUGAGGACAAAGACUCGCAUUAGGACUUUUGCUUGAAUGAGGAGAUGUUCUCUGCGGGGCUGUUACACUGGUUCCCUACGGGGGCUGCUUCAACGGUCCAAAUUAUAAGCGGGCUAAUCCUCUUCUCUUCCUACUCUAAGUCGUCUUAACUCUCCUUUGUUGGUGAUUCUUCCUUACUUGAAUCUUAACUCUCCUUUGUUGGUUCUGAUCCAAAGAUAGGAUUGGGUAGUUGGUUUAGGGUAGGGAAUUGCUAAAAUAAGGGAUUCUGAGCAACAACGUUUAGACUUAUUUAGUUAUGUAUGUCAUCAGUAGCAAAAAGGUGGAAGGCACUUGGCAUAGCUUCGAGUAGCUUCCAAAAAGGAUGGGACUAAUGACACUCCAUGACCGGCGCACUGUCUGAGGCCUCCCUUGGCUAGGAGGGGCUCCUUUCCCGAGUCAAUUGAUGGUUUUGCUUUUCCGAUGGCUUUCCUACUUGCUACCGUUGUAGUUCUCUUUCUUCCAUUACCGACGCUGUCGCUUCCUUUCCCCCAGCUAUGGCACUGCUCUUUCGAUUAUUUAUUCUAUGUGGUAGCCAUUAGUGCCGAUUCUCUAAGUCAUAGUAUUUAUCUAUCUACGAAUAGGCUCAUUCCCUUAUUUAUGUACAACUUCCCAAUGGAUCAGUCUGUUCAGCCGAAGUCAAAGCCCCUAUUUGACGUUUACGUUCAUGCGAGCUGAGCUCUCUUAUCACUAGUUCCUGAGAGGCGCCAAUUUCCUACUUUACUCCUCUAAAGCAUAAGAAUGACUUGACUCCUUAUUAGUACUCCAGUGUUGUUAAUAAUUAGUUGAUUACUCCAGUGUUGUUAAUAAUUGAAAGAUGAUUGGAUUUAUUGGGAACGCUAUUCCAUUGCUGUCUCGGAGAAGGAAACCCGCACCACCGAAUGAUUCUCUGUCCUGAUCGUGGGGUAGAAUAUCAGCUAACUAUUCGACCUUUUGUGCGGGCUAUUUAGAAAGUCUAGCACACACCGUUCACAUUUCAUAUACAGGCGAACUCUACUCAACUUCAGUACAGAAGCAUGGUUCCAGCUUCGUUAGCGCAACAUGGAACUCUCAACUCUCCACAACGCCCUCACUCGACUCUCAUGCGGAUUCUCUCGUAGAAGUAAUGACUCAUAGAAAUCGAAAACCUCAUCUCAACACUUUGGAAAAGCAAAUCCAUAUAGAAAUCCAUAUAGAUAUAUGUUCUUUUUGACAAUACAAGAUCUCCCCGCAUUAGAAAGUGCUUCCGCUGUCCUACCUUCCUUAGGUAAGGCAUCAACCCGAGAGAAAGUGCUUCCGCUGUCCUACCUUCCUUAGGUAAGGCAUCAACCAUAGCAUAGCAUUGCAUUAUUGAAAGCCUUUGAUCCAUUAUGGUUUAGGACCUGUGGCUCCAUCUUAGGGAGUUUGGUUCCUUAAUGAGAACUAUAUUAAUUAUCAUUAACUAUUCCAUUGGUAUUGUUCGGUAACCCGGAAUUCUAACUCACUAUUCCAUUGGCGUUGUUCGGUAAACCUUAAUUAUCACUAACUAUUCUAUUGGCAUUGUUCGAUAAAUAAGAAUUCAUUGCAAUAGGUGGGUCCAAAGUCAAAGGGGCCAAGCUACUGACCUGACACUGUAAACAAAGAAUCCAAUUGAGGCCUUGGUCUUACAAAGCUAAUUAACGCACUUUUACUGUAUACCCCACAUCUGAGUAUUUGUACUGAACUUCCCCUCACUAACAAACCAUCAAGGGAACAAGCUUUGGAUAGGAACCAUCAAGGUCAAGAAAUAGAACUCUAUGACAAGGAGCGUAAGGCAGGACUUCAGCAACAUAUAGGGAAGCCUCGAGACAGCCCCAAUCUGGAAUAAUAGAAAGUUGCACCCGACACGUAAUCUAAUGUUUUCUUUCUUUCCCGCGGAGUUGGCAUUCGAUUCGGCUUCUUUUCCCACUGGAACAAAAGGAGACUUCACUUCCGCUUCAUAAGUAAGAGCAAAAGGACCCCUACCCUAAUGCUAUUCUACGGCAUUUAGCCUAUCGUCUUUAUGUUCCUAAUACAGAUUUGAUUACUUCUUAUACUAUUCUUUAAGUAAUAAUACUUCUUAUACUAUUCUUUAAGUAAUAAUUAGCUUUAUGCCAUACUUUGAGUUGUCAGUGUCAAAGUCUCCAGAAGCCUUAUCUCCUCUUUGGAAUGCCCAGACUCCGUUUUCUCUGUGUUUGUUGGCUACGAAGCUAGUGUUUCUGCAUUCUUUCUUAAAGGGAGCCCAUGGGUUGGUGAGAUAUGAAGAGUACUAGGCGAGAUGGAGGUCAAUUAUGUAUGGAAUUUCAGAGCAACCAAGCACCUUUCCUAGACGACAUUCCCAUGAGAUGGGCGAGUGAAGUAAACUCUAGAAUCCGCAUAAUCAAGAUAUGGGGCAAGUCCUGUGUUCGGGAGCUACCGCCUCUAAUACUAAAACAAAGGAAUAUAGGGCACCCCCCCCGACAACUUAGACUUUCCUUACUGCUUCCCCAAGGAUGAAUUCCUUAUACCGCUUCAAAGGAUGAAAUCACUGUUAACAAGAAUAACUCUAGGGCUCUUAGGGCUUUAACCACUAGUCCGGUUUCCUUUAUUACGGGUCUCUGCCACUGCGAAGAAAGACUAGCAAACUCCAACUUAUGCUUCUAAGACUUUCAUUAAUGCCAACGAGCCUUGCUAUACUUUCUGGAAUUCUUUAAUUCGACUCUGACUGUUAGGUCUACUAUCCUCGCUUCCAUUCUCUUAUUGGUACUUGCCCCAUCUAUUCUUUGUUUGUUCCUAAUACUGCUCCCUUGCAUGCUGUAUUACUUGGUUCAAACCAACUCCCGCUGCUUUGAUUCUGAAAGUUGCCUUGAAGUUACUUGCCUCUUUGACUCAUUGUUUGAAAUCUGCUUUUGCUUCUUUUUAUAGUCUUACCUUCCUGCCUACAGGUCUAACUACUCUGGGCUCGCAUCACACACAUGAGAAUGAGAGGUCUCUUAAAGAAAUCAUAGGGUUCCUUAGCGAAUCCCUUGCUUCAUAUGGGUUCCUUUUAUCAUCUAUAAAGAAAUUCCAUGACCGUAGCCCGGGUGAAAGCACGGUGAAAGCACUCGAGAAGGGCCAAGGGCCAAGCAGACAAGUACUAAGAUCAGAAUCAAACGAGCUCUAAAGUCCACUCUUCUUCUACUGGAACCAAAGCAGUCCUGUCCUUAACCCACUCCAGAUCCUAAUACGACUCCUGAUCAAGGUACUGAUCUAGUUCAUGCUCCUUGCCCAGUUGUUUGUCCCGUUGCUUGGCCCACUUUCAACCUUUCACUCUUUACAUAGGUAGCCUUUUUCCAUUCUUUUUGCAGGGGUGAGCCAGAUGCCGAGUCUACCUCUAUCUGCCAAGUCCCUCUUUGAUAGUAGGAUCUAUCAAUGUCAGCGUUAGUGGCUUUUGACUUCGAUUUGAAUUACUCCGAAUCUCAUUAGUAAGAUUAUGCCUAUUCUCUCCUCACUCAAAGAAGAACAACCCUAUUAGAACUCCCUGCUUCCCGAUACGACACUAGCUCUAUUCAAACUUAUAACUAUUAUUCUCUCUCUCCAGUUCCGCCAGACUGAAAGCUUCCCUCUCUGUUUGGCAUUAAUAUCAGAUUUCAAGCAAGGGGCGCAGUAGAACGAAAGUGGGUAGUUGAGGAAAAAGAUACAGGGAAGUUCGCCUUAAAGCAAGGACAGAGGUAGUGAGGUGUAUGAAAAGCAAGGGCGGAAAGGGAAGUUUAGGUCGGCUGUUCACCGAUGUUAGUUGCAGUUAUGAGCAAGUCCGUAUUUGUUAGUGAGGUAGUUUACUAGAAUGUGUUCUAUACCCCCCCAUGUGCAAGAGAGCACUCAAUUCUUCACUGAAAAGAUGGUUUACCGGCCAAAAGGAAGGAAUCGAAUCCGAUAUAGAGUUUGAAAGGAAAGUGAUGAGUUAGGGAGUUGACCUAUAAAGAUUAAAGAAAUGGUUUAUUUACUGGGUAUAUUAGCCGGAGGUAAGAAUAGGGGUCGGGGUGUAAUGUAAUAGAUGUGGGUGCCGCGUGGGGGUGCCUAUUGCCUAUCAAACUAAUAGAGCCGAAUUUGAUUCCACAUAAAAUGAGUUUCCCCUUGCUUUGAUACAGAAGCUGGAGAACUGGAAACAGACAAGCGUAUACUAGUCCUUUACGCACUGUCAAGAAAGACUGUUGGGGCGGGGGAAGUCCAAGAGAAUUAAUAUGUUUUAACGAGUUAUGAGCAAGUCAAGUAUACAUCACACUUUUUCCCAUACCACCCGGCAGGCAGCCCUAAGAACAACUAGUAGACGUCCUUUAAGUCGCGGUAAGCCCAUCUCUUAUUAAACACCCUCUCCUUGGCAUAAGAGUUCUUUCAUUCCCCUCCUUGGCAUAAGAGUUCUUUCAUUCCUUUAUCACUGUGUAUUCUCCUUUGCACUACUUAUUCUAUAGAUCUUAUCAAGCAAGAGCAGGACUUGAGUUUCUUCCUUCCUAUUAUUGACCUAAAAGGCAAACAAAGCCCAUCCAAGGCAAAUGACUCAAUAGCUCAAAGGCGGGCCCAUAAAAGAGAGAGAAUGCAAAUAGCCGGUAAGGAAACUUGCUUAGCUCACUUGGCCUGGCCCCUUAUGAGACAGUGCUCCAAAUCCCUAGUGGUCUUGUCUCUCCAAAGCUCUCUCCCUUGCUUUCAAUAUUCAACCCUACUAAAGCGGAGAAAGCUAGGACGAAAGGGCAAGCAUCAGACAUAGGGACUAUACGGGAUCUAUGUUAUAGGCGGGCUAAGAGAUUCUACAAACUUGUCAAGAAAGGGCCUUCGUAGACUAAGAAAGUUGGUAAUGGGGAUAGACCUGAUGAAGCCUUCGCUUUUAUGGAAGACGUGAUAGUACUGUAGUAAUGCGCGGAAGAAAAGAAGUCCGCUUUUGGCGGGAGAGAGAGGGAAAGAUAAGUAAGACGAUCGGAAACAUCCGACUUGAAACCUAGGACGGAAGACAAGCCGAUGCAACUGAGUCGUACGAGAGAGUUUCUUCCUUACCCAGUGGGGACUGCAGGAAGAUGGAUUUUCAGCUAAUGUGUGUGCUCCUACCUAUCGUGCUGGAACUUCAAAAAACACUUAACGAGCCUUAACACGAGUUUCCGUUUCAAGAUCAGUUGCCGAAGCCGAAUCUUACUCCGUUUGUUUGGGAUAAGAAGCCUUGUUCUUUAGCUAACGGAGCUCUAGUUGAAAUAUCCGAUUUUUCCAUAAGAUGAGUUGUGGAAGAGAGCAGCCCUACCGCCAUGGUUAUUACGAGUUAUGAGCAAGUCAACGGAAACAAGCAAUACAGAACAAACCUAAGUACUAUAAGAAUUGAGGUAAGAGCCAGCGCACCUAGGAUAAGGGUAAUGGAGGCAACUCAUAGGUAUGAUCCAGCACAUAUAGGAUAUAUAGUGACUUCUGAUAGUCUUGCUUGUCAGUGUUAGCUUUCCCCCAUUCUAUCACUACAGUAUUGGAUCCUUGCUUAUUAGUGAAAGAACCAAUCGACUCUUCUAAUAUGUUAACUCGAUCCUAGGAAUUGACUAAGGAGUACCUAACUCGCUACCGUUUAGCUCAGACUCCUCCGCGCCAGUGUUUAACUCGCUACCGUUUUAGCUCAGGCUCCCGAAAGCAUCUACGAAGACAGUUUAAAGCUCCUCCGCGACACAUUAGCAGUGUCUUGGCGGCUAUAGCUCCUGCCGUACAACGUCUUGCGCCGUUGCUUGGCCGUUAUAUCUAUUACUAUUGCUACCGCACAACGUCUUGCGCCGUUGCUUGGUCGGCACGUUAGUAGUGCCUUGGUCAGUAGUAGUUGCUUGGUGAACCAAACUACCGCUAACAAGGCUCUCACUGCUGUAUCGCACGCCCCUAUCUCUAUACCCUCUGCUUUUAUGAGUCUUCCCUUGCUUUUUAUUAGUCUACUGUUACUAGCUCUAAAACAGCUAUUCCUUGCCUUUAGUCUGCCUCUCUUGUCUUUGAUUCUAUCUUUGACUUUUCUUAGUAAAUGCAGUAUUAAGUGUUCCUAUAUUCAUUAUUCUUUUCACUUAGAUUAAUAAUGUGUUUCAACAUUCUCUUAUAAUAAUCCAAUAAUGACAUUCACUUAACUAUACCUUGAAUCUUGGCAUCCCGACCCCUCGACCAGUUGCGUAUCUCUCAGAACAUGGGAUGAUACUGCUCUGAAUGAGAGAUACUACCCGAUGAACCCGAUCUUCUAACUACUUACUUAGAGGCUGACUAUCCGUGUUUUCAUGCAGUAACUCCGGAUUCAGAUCUGUGUUUCCAAACUUCAACCUGUGCAGUUAACCUUUGAGCCUGCCAUGCCUUACUUUUACAACCAAUUAUGAGUUGGAUGGAGUAUACCUCCCCUCUUCAGCUACUACCAGUCAGAAUCAAAUCAUUGCUAAUAAGACUGGAGUGACUUUUUCUCAUACUUUAGCUCGAAACUAGGGAGUCAAACAAUGAAUCUAAGAAAGCCCACCCGAAAGAAAGAAUGCAAAUAAUAAGCCUUCAUAUUAGCUAGGCCCCGAUACUUGAUGUUUUCAUUCUCUAAGUAAGUAUUGAUCCUUUUCCCGAUGAGGAGUCCCAAACGACUCUAUAGGCGUCCACUCUAGCUCGAAACUAAGUGGAGUACCAGCUUAAGGCUUAGAAGACUAAGUGCUAUUCCGAUACUUAGCGGGUCUACUCUGCUAUCACUUCCGUUAAUUCUAUCCUACCCUAGCGGGGUCCCCUAAAGAAGCGAGGUGUGAUCCCUAGAUUCGGUCCCCCCAGGAAGGAGUUCAGACUCAAAAGCAAGGCAAUAAGGAUGAAGACACUAAGUAAGGCGGGGAAAGCGCCUAAGGAGGGAGAGGUCAAACACUCAAAAAAGAGCGUAGGAAUGAGGGACAGUAGUGAAAGAACUUAAGUAGGGCAGGGCAGACUUUCAACAAGGUGGGCAGGCCUAUUGUUAGUAGUCUCCUUCCCUUCUCCCCUCUGUAAGUCUUAGAAGAGGCAGAAGCUGCUUCAGUCCCGGUAGCUCGAUUUCUAGUUUCGAGUGCGAUUCCUACUAGUGCUUGCUCGAUUCUUGUGACCAGUCACUUAAGUCUGGUAUUGCUAUAGAAUGUACUUAGAGACAGGGCUGUAAGGCUUAGGGAGAGUAAUUGCAGGCUUAAGGGUUAACUACGGAAUGAUGCUAACUAGUAGAAGUAUUCUAGUUACGUGUGACCGUUUGAACUACCUAUCUAAUAAAUGAAAACGAACAAGCAAGAAUAUCAGUAAACAGUAUACCGAAAGUAGGACUAAAACAUAGGCAUUGCAGGGACAACUAUAGGCAUUGCAGGGACAACUACAAGAGUGAAAUAGUAGAUUAGGCCUCCGUAUCAUCAAACUCAGAUAUAAGGCGUGGUCUUCCGCUGGGUUCCAUUUCUGAAUUGCUUUAUCUCAUUCUAUAGCUAAGGAUCUAUAACCUUGCUUUGUAGCUUCCAACCACCUCUCUUAGCUUUUCUUCUUUAGCUGCGUCCUGUGUUCGGCAGCGAAAGCUUCAAGUGUGUUGGAAUAACUUGAGGAAAAGCCGAUCUGUGAUAAAAGAAAGAGAAUGGCUAGAUAAGGAAAGAAAUAGAGCUAAGCCAAUGAGCUAACCGAGUGGAGUAAACUAUACUGGCUUACUACGGGCUACGGAUACUCAGUACUCCUACCCGGCUAUAAGACAUAGAGAUAUUUGACUUUUCCUUUUCCAAUAAAGCAUACUUGGGUAAAGCUGUGUCCUUUCUUCGGCCUCAGUCAUAAGUGUUCUACAAUUGACAUUUUUGGAUUGUUCAUCCUUAUGAUAGAAUCAGAUAAUGCGCGUGCAGAUUAGGCGUCGGAACUGUUAUCAACUAAAAUGAGACUCUCCAGCAUUUGUUUAGGCCUCGUAUUCUUUAUAUUCUGGAUCUUUAUACCUUCGUACUAGAAAUCUUUGGUAUUGAGCCCGACUCGUUGGAUGUAAACGUCUAUUUUGAGGAAUAUGCCCAAGCCCCAUAAAGAAAAGAGUUAUUUCUCUAAUCAAACAGGACGGACUUUCAAGCUAAAGCAGCUGAUCUACGACCACGCUUACUCCUAGUAUAUUCCAGUCCUCCGUUUUUCUUAUUGACCCUAUUUAUAUACAAGUUAACUGCCAAAUGGGGUGCUAAGGCUAUUUCUAUUGCUUUCCAUUCUUUAUUCAAAAACAAAAGAACUCUUUCACCGUACUGGUUCUUCUUCGACACUAGGAAUUUUCAUAGAUAGGGAUGGACUCAAUCCUGGGAACAUCAAGGAACAUCAAACGCAAAGAAAACUGGGGUUUUCAUUAAGAACUUGAUCAUCAUCUAGGGUUAAUCAAUUGCCUUAGACAAGUUAGACCCUGAGAUUGGAUCGUUCCCUAAAUGCAGUAGCUCAGGUUUUCCGGUGCGAGUGGAAACUCUCGAGAAAUCUAGUAUGACAGGUUUAGCAUUUUGUGCUUUCAAGUGGAGUUCUUUGAACCGAGUCCACAACGUUGGUUUCAAUCGAAUCUUUGAUCUAUAUUCAUGUGCAAAACGAAGCAAAGAAAGGGGUCUAUAAGCCGAUGAGUUUACCUCAAUGGACCUAGCCCGAGAACAAGCUUAGUAGCUAUCCUUUGCCUUUCCUUUCCACUUGCCUGAUGAUGUCUUUCCCAACUUCAUUCAAAAGAGAAGUAUGCUUAUGCGGAAAGAGCGACUGCUUUCAUGUAUAAAUAGGGAGUGUUAGGGCUACGGGGGGUCUAAUCUAUACUGAGGCUAAACCCGAAGACCGAAAUGCUACAAAGAAAGAAGAAAAGUCAAGCUAUACAGUCCUGGCGGCAGUCCUUCUUUUUCACUCGAGCUAGUGAUUACUUCUUCUGGUUAAGAGCAAUGAGUGAAUGGAGGGUAAAGUGAAUCAAUAAAGGUUUUCGUUUCUACAAGACCGCAUAUCGCUUACCCGUCUUUGCCUAUAGCGUACAAAGAACUAACCUUACUUAUAGGGGAGCUUACUAGACUAACACUCACUCCACUUUACAAAGAAGAAAGGAAAGGUUUGGAAUGCACGGCCAAGCCACCACUCAAAACUCGAACUGGCCAACUUAUAUACUCCACCAUUCAUAAGCGGACUAUCAAACAGCUUCCUCAGGGGCAUCAGAAGAAACAGAAGAGUCAUGUAUUUAAUGAAAACUCCUUUCAAGCACUCUGGACUCCUGUACUAAUAUAUGCUAGUCUGUCUGCGAGUAGUGAGUCGUUUCCAGUGGGGGCACUAAACGGAUUGUUAGGCUGUCGCUCCUAUAGGGUAAGCCGGGUUAACUCGCUUGUUAUCAGAGAAAAAAGAUCGUCUGCGCUUACGGGAGUUAUAAGCAGAAAGUAGAGUUGGUGCGCUUAAGCAAGACUCAGUGCUAGGGUGAGUUACAAAAGAUGAAGAGAUAGAGAAACUAGGAAUAUAAUUACAGUGUCAACAUGGAACAAGGGAUUCUAUUAUUAUGGAAUUCCCCCACUUAUUUCUUGCGCUUAUUAAUACUUCAGAUAUAGGGUGCACGCCUUAAUUCUUGUGUAUCUGUGUUAUUGGCGUUAGUUAUUGGCGCUAGUGUCUUUCUCUAAUCACUUCCAUUAGUGGUAUUGUACUAGUGGUAUUGUACAAUACUUAAGCAAUAGGAACUGUUAUAGAAUCAUUUAUAUCCCGGAACCGGCAAUAGGAACUGUUAUAGAAUCAUUUAUAUCCCGGAACCGGCAAUAGGAACUGUUAUAGAAUCAUUUAUAUCCCGGAACCGGCAAUAGGCACUGAGUUAUAGCUGAACCAGCAAUAGGCACACACUGUUAUAGAAUCAUUACUGUCCUUUACUUAAGCAAUAGGCACUGACAGAGUGAUAGCCGCAAUAAGCAAAGUUAUAGAAUCCAUGAAUCCUGUCCUUUACUUAAGCAAUAGGGACCUAAAUAGAAGUGAGAAACACUUGGAAUAUGAACACAUCAUAUUAUAUAAGUCAAGAAAGUAUAGUAAUGGAACUCCUGAAGAUAGAAGUCAGAUUGGAAUAGUAGUGCACAUCUUCUAAGUAGUCAGAAACUAGUAGUGCACAUCCUCCAUAACAUAAGAAGACAUAGUCGAAACUAGUAGUGCACAUCCUCCAUAAGAAGAAUUGUAAGAACAUAACCCUCCUGUCCUGACUAAAUGGCAAAUAACAACCUUCUCCUUCCGUCAUAAAUAGAAAAAGAACAACCUUCUCCUUCCGUCCCAACUCAAACUAGCAACUUAAGGAAUACGAAUGGAGUUAUUGGCUUUCCCUUUGUUGUCGUAAAGAUAUGUUAUUGGCUUGACCGAACAAAACAAGCAAAUAGGGAGUUAAGGAGUAGGCCUAUGACUCCGGGAGGGUGCGCGAGGCGACUCUUUCUUAACGGAAGGUGUGCAGUGCUCGAUAUCGCCCUGUAGUGCUCCUUGAGAUAGUAGCAAGGCUUUCAGCUCCUUGUUCUCGUUGGCUUACCUUUCAUAGUGGAACGGUUUGCUUCCGUGAAGAAUAUCUAGUAUAAGAACAGUUCUCGUUGGCUUACCUUUCAUAUAUCUGGUAGCUCUGGGUCAGUUAAUCGGUUAAGGCGCAAGUCAGUUGCAAGCCGAAUGCUAUACCUUUCAUCGAAGAAAUCAAGUCAAAACACAGAACAAGCAACGGGAGCUCGCUCGCAAGAACAAACAACCAGCUAACGGGAGUUUACCAGAACAAACGCAGUGAGAAUUGGCAGUUGGAGGCACAAGGCAGAAUAUAUUAAGCAAUUUAGUAAGCAGAACACGCAACUAGGGCAAUAAGAUUCAUUUACUAUCGUCUAGGGUUUGCAAAGAAAGCAAUUAUGUAUUAGGCUUACUUAUCUAUAGAUUAUUAUAGAUAUAUCAGCAAUGGAGUAUCACUCGUAAUGGAAUAAGCAACGUUUGUGCUAACGUAUGCGAAACGAACAGGUGUAGUUAGUUAGUUUGUCGGCGCUAACGCUUACUUCUGACUUUCCGGCUCACUAUAGCUGACUUUCCUGGGUGCCAACAUAAAUCAAUUCUUCUAGGGGCAGAAGCUAACAAGUAAUGGAAUUGAAAGUACUACACAGUAUUUGCUAAGUACACAGUAUUUGCUAAGGCCCACGGAGCACUAAGUCAAUCAGAAUCAUAAGAAUAAGAUGCCUCAGCUGUUUCAAGAGAAUGCAGCAUCAACUGGAUAGGAAUCAGGGAAGGCGAUCCCUAAACAUAGGCUUACCAGCUUUGUUUUCACAGUCUGCUUGAAGAACAUUCGUUCGAUCUUCCUCUCACUUCCCUUAGAGUUGGCAGCUUUGAACUGGUCCAUGCUCGUGGUGAGCAAUGGUCCCAAGGUGCUCUAUUGCCCUCUUAUAUACGGUUCGCGCGAUCACCUUCAAUUUGAUAAGCGGAAGAGGGGUAGUGAGACCUUUUUUAGAGGUUCAUAGGCCCUCGGUUACCUACCGUCGAGGAGCUAGAUAUACAACCUAUCGUAGGUCAUAGUCUGGAGUUGGGGGCUAUGAGGCAUAUUUUCGCCAUGGGCAACUAUAUCAAUCAGAGGCGACUCUCACCAAUCAAUGAUUGGCUCAUUAGGGUUCGGAUACCUACAGAUGUUCCACCAAGAUCGUCCUCUUGAUCGGUUAGUGGGCGAAGAGUUCUAGCUCCUACUUUAAGUCGUCAACGGACCGAUGGCCAUUGUUGCUUCUCUUCGAGGCUAGGCAGUACAUAAUUCUAUUACAGGCGGUCGUUCGCGUCAAGUGUUGUUAAUUCGGCACUUGCUUAUAACAUAUUUUAGGUUCCCUGGGUGAAAUCCGCUAGGUCUAAGGUCUGUUUUACUUUACGGUUGGACAACCUCUCGGCUAUCUAUCCUCUUUCCCUCUGUUUUUUGCCUUAUCAUGUUUUGGUUUGGUACUGUGCAGAACAAGUGUACCCAGGCCGAUGCUUUGAACAGGUACGGAGUCAAGGGUUUAAUCAGGUAAAGAAUUAGGGGUGGAUAUAUCUUCUCAAUAAUAUCGAAUUUCCCGGCAGUGCGGAAUUUUCCAAUUUCGGGUUCAAUCGCUGGAAAAAGAUCUGUCUCCGAUCUCUAUCCGCUCUUUGCUUAACUCGCAUCACCCUUUUGGACUAAUGGCAGUACAUCCAAAACAUCCUGUUGUUUCUGUCGGGUUACAACUCUUUCACGGGAGGGCAGUUUACAAGGCUUUGACUGGAUUCUCUCAGUCUAGGCCUGCACACAACGAGUGCAUCCUGGUUACCAAGUCGAAGUUGCCUUUCUCCUUUUGGGGGGUUAGCGAGAGGGCUACCGUUGAACCCAUAUCUCUCAGGCUUUAUUAUUGAUUGAUUACUUAGGGAAGGAAUCCAAGGAUGACUUAGGGAAGGAAUCCAAGCUUUUAUUGAUCCAGCCUUUUAUUCGCUUCGGAUGUACCCUGAGGAUCUAUUCCAAUUAGUAGUUUCUUGGCUUGAGUAAGAAAGUCACAAACAAGUCAAAGGAUAGGAGGGGCUAAACAAUUGGAUUGAUUGAUAUAAUUGGAGUUGUCUCUGCGGUGUUUGGAAAGGGUUAUUCUCUAUAAUGGGUGCGGGGGCGUCUAUGAGCGGUGCUCCUUCAUCCCCUGAUCCGGUCUUUAAGCGUGCAGCGAAACCUCUAUAUUUCGGCGACGCAACAAACUUUCUUCCUUCACUAGGGGAACUUAGCAAAGCGUUUCCUGGGCACAGGUGAUUGCCGGAAAGGCCAUUCAACACCUUUCGGAUGGUAUGUUUUUGUCCACUUCUCCACAAUAAAUAGAAUACAGAGAGCGUCUUAAGAUGUUUUACAUAAAAUAGGAAGAUUCAUUGGCGGAAUGGCGACGGUCAUGGACCUUAUUACUUGUGGGUAGAUUUCUUAGAGUAGCCCCCACCUCUUGAUGUAAUCUGGACAUCCAUCGAUUAAGACCCUAUGGCAACUACCCAACCCCACUCCAUUGUGGUAGACAUGGCAAGAGUUCGGUUUCUUUCUUUCUUUCUCUUCCGAUUUGCUUCAGAAGAAGAGGCAGUCUAUAUCUUAACAGAUUUCCCCCAUCGUCGAUAAGAAGAUAAAGACAACAUUUUGUCCUGGCCUCAUUUUCCACCAAUGAUUUCCAAAUGGAAUUCUGCUGAGUACAAGUUCCUCGGUUUUGAAUAUUGGAACCACAUUGCUUCUAUACUUGACUUGGUAAACCUCUCAGUAUGGACAACAGCUCGAUUACCUUUGAGCCGGUUUGUCCUAAUUUGUAUCGAAAUUGAUCCUUCGAAACUGCUAAAGCGGAUCGGGAAACCAAUGUCAGGAAUUUCCCAAGUGUUUCUUUUGACUAUCUAUGAGAAACUCCCGGCAGUAUGCUUCAAGUGUGGGUUGGGUGCAUUGGUAAUAAACUAACGGAUUGCCCUGAUAGGAACCCGACGAGAAUAUCUUGUCUACAAUAAGUAAGGAUUCCUAUGCCGACGCCUGGUGAGAAACCUUUUUCCAAUAGAGUUUGGGAAGGCUGAUGCGAAUUCAAGCACUUAUACCUAGUUUGAAUCUAGAGAACAUCCGGAUGAUGAAGACUUGGAGGGAGUCUGCACUACCAAAUGAUCUUAGAGUAACCAAAGCUAUUGGUAACAUAAGGUUCAAAGCUAUGGCAUCUACGGACGCGCCGGGCUCGAAAGCUGUCCAAUCGAAAAACAAAGCUGUGGAAUCAUCCCUAGCUGAAGCCUAAAAUGAGGUUCGGGAGUCUUUCCUAACCCUACUAGGCAUCUUCUUUCCUCUGAAUGAAUUUGAUUAGUUGGAAUUGCAGAGGACCUACGAAGGCAGAUUGUCAGAGAUAGAAUUCUGAUAAUAUCCCAAAACGAUUGAAAUCAUCUCUUGUUUGGUUGCAGGAGACUUACUUGUCGGAGGAACAAGCCAGCAACACUAUCAAAUGCAUGGGUCGGCACUGGAAAUGUUCUGCUCAAUCCGCUUCUGGAUCAGUAGGGGGAAUUGGUCUUGGUUGGUGGGACUCCACUAAACGCUCAGGUGAUUUCGUUCCAUACAUGCAUGGUCAUUUCGUUCCAUACAUCUAAUGGUAUUAAGACCCAUCUUUUCAUUAUUCAUAACCAUGGCUUCCUUCAAUAGCUUAUCUAAUACUUGUUGCUAUUAUCUUCUUUCUCUAAUACUUGUGCUAUGAUUUUUCUGAUCUAAAGGAAAGGGGAUUCUUAUGGGCUUAUACUUAUUUUAUUGAUGCUCCUUGGUGUGGGCGAUUUCCAUUGUGUUCUAAAUCCGGAAGAGAAACGAGGCGCCUUUUACGGCUAACCAUUCUGUUAACACUGGAAGUUCCUUAUUUGGUUAUUUUACUUGCUGCCGGGUUACAUGAUCUCGGUUUGAAUAGUUAACCAUAUAUAAGAGCUUAUGUUAUGUUAUUUGAUAGGUGAUAAUAAGAAUAGAGAAGUAAUGCUACUCGUCUUAACUGCUAAUGCUUAGUUGGUAAAAUGUGUUUGGGUUUUCUACGGUUUUGCACCCACCUCGUCUUUCUUUGUUCUGAUCAUUGUCCACUCUCUCUUGCUAUUCGCGGAUCUCAAAAACCAAUAAUUAGUAAACCUUAUUCUAUUUCUUAGUUGGAGGACGGAAUAUGAAUCUGUUUUCAAUGGAAUUAUAUGGUUGAUAUUGGAGCACAGAUCAAAACCGCUUUCAGCAUGAUUUUGUCUUCCAAUCAUAAAGGCCUGAGAUAUGUCUUAUCCAACUAGAGAACUGUCUUGGUCCCCUUUGGAGGACAUCUAUUCUAACCUCCUAUAAGUCCAAAUUAAUAUAUUCGAAAAAGAAGGAGGCCACUACGGGUUUGUCUGAUCAGGAGGAUAAAUAGCUCUUGAGUCUUCAUAACCAUUGGAUUGCUAUUACUAGACAGAUUCAUAUUUUCAUUAAUCGUGGGUGAAGGCCAAAAGGUGAAAUGGAUUAAUGAUAGAGAUAGAAAUACAGCAGCAGAUAGUAUUCAUAAAGCUUUUUCUGUGAUUUCUUUGACUUUAUUUGAUUAUUGGCCAGCAAGCAAUACUCAGACUUCAAGGACAGGACAGGGGAUACUCAGAAACAGAUGGAUCCUUCCCCUUUCGAGAAGAAGCUCGCUCGUCUAUUUGCUCUUUAGGUUUAGGGAAGAGAGAGCCCACGCUUCAUACCAGACUUGAGACUCUACUCGGGAAAGGACAGAUAGAGGCAUAGGCUCCUCUCAUAACUCUAAUAAAGGACAGAUAGAGGGAUUUCCACUUUAGACUCUUCUGGACUCCUAGAAUUCAAGAUCACUUUCUCCUUGGGAGAGCACUCCUAGAAUUCAAGAUAGCUUUAGACUCUGGACUCCUAGAAUUCAAGAUCACUUUCUCCUAUCUCCGAAAAGUGCCAAUUGCUAACUUUCUAUUUUAUUGGAAUUGGAGAAUCCACUAUCCAAAAAGAAAGAAGAUGAGUUCUCUUCAACUCUAAAUAGGGUCUCUGGUCUAGACAGGCGGUGGAAACAGCCAAGCGGAGUUUCUUCUUACAGUGAAUAGUCCAUUCUUUCCUGCCUUUCACAAUAGAUGUCCAAUGCCUUAUUAAUACUUAUAUACUCUUAUCAGUUCUUUCCUACCUUUCAUUCAAUAGAUGCCCAAUGAUCAUAUUCCUUAUUAAUACAUUUUGUAUACUUAUAUGUGUUUGCUUUAUACACUAAAUAGUUGGGUCAUUCAAUAAAAGAGUCUAAUGGAAAAUGGUAAUGAAUCUAAUAUGUGUGGUGGUUUUUCAAGAAUACACAGUAAUCCCAGCAGUGUUAGAGACGUUGAGAUCAGAACAAAACGAUUGGAUUCUCUUGAGCCUAUAUCGGCCGGCCGGGCAACCCCAUAUUCCUAAAAAGACUCCCGACCAAAAGAUGAACCAUUCUUUUGAGAGUUGAGUCCAUACUGCCCUUUCUCUUUUUCGUUGGAGCCAACUUUAGUGGAGAGUUUAGUCGCAUGUCCGCUCCUCUUUUCUUUCCGCAAUGGAAUCGGGCUCGACCCCUUUC